AGAGCACAUCUUAGGUUCAUCAAAGUUCAAUUCCAAGUCUCAAGAAUUCACCAACAACUUUAAGGAAUUCAACUACUCAAGUAUGUUAGGUGUUCAUCCUUGGGUUUCCUUCCACCCUUGGAGUUCAAGAACCCCUUUUCAAAACUUGAAUUAUUAUUUACAUUCUUGAAUAAAAUGUGUUCAUGUAUGUGUUGUUGUAUGGAUUUCAUGCUAAGAAGAUUAUGAGUACCAUGUAAAUAAACUAGCAUGUGUGUUGAUUUAUGUAACUCUCAUGUCAAAUCUUUGUAUUAUGAUGUUGAAUGUGGUAGUCAUGAUAUUCAAAUAUUGUUCAUUCUCAUGUACAAGAUUUACGCAUCGUAAGUGUUUGACAAAAUAUCCAUGUGAAUGAAUUGUGCAUGGUGACCUAUGUGUGAUAUUUUAAAAGUUGGGUUAUGGUUCCCUUAGCUAUACUAUUGAGUCCUAGGGGUAUUAAAUACCCGAAACUAGUUUUUUAUCUAGUCUCCAGUCAAAAUAGAAUAAUCUUUUCGUAUCUCGAACAGUAGCAUUCGUUCAGUUAACAAAAUUAGUGCGAGUUCAGUCAAGCCUAGCAUAGACUAGUAAUCAGUUCCAGUGUCGUUUUAGUUGGGAGUAGAAUUCAGCACCGAGCGAACCCAGGGAAGGAGGCAUUUCUGCCAGCAGAGGGUUUGACCCUUAGCAGCAGACCCUAAGUUGCAGAACUACGUAGCCAGCGUAGGGUAAAUUGUCUUCCUACCAAACUAGGAUUGACGUAACCAUAUAUAUCUCAUGAGUUUUCCUGCCAGAUUAGGGUUGACCCAGCCAAUGUUAGCAACCCGUGGCAUGGUUCUAACACCCUUCCAACUGGGAUUACAGGUUGGACCCCAAAUUAGUCUAUAAUCGGAGUAUGUCGGUAAGAUGAAGAUUUCCACAGUCUCAGUUGCAGUAUUCAAUGCAAAACUCAGUUUAGUUCUACAUGAUCAAGAUCUUCAGUAUUCAAGUAUCAAAACUCGGUACUUCAGUUUCAGUCUAAACUUUUAUUUAACAGUGUUCAAUUAUCAAAACUCGGUAUUUUAGUUUCAGUCUUAUUCAGACAGACGAUAUAUGCUUUGUAUUGCAUAUUCAGUACUCUCAGUAGUCCCAGUUUUGCAUAUAUUCUCAUCCAGCUACUUCAUGAUAUAUAGUUACUAUUAUUAUUCAUGCACAUGAAUGCAUUUGUAGAAAGAGAGCAUGAUUGUGAAUAGUCGAUGCCAUUCUUGAGCUUCAACCAAAUGUGCGAAAACUAUCAACGAGCUUGAAACUUCACAAAUCGUCUCUGAUAAACUCAUAAUUAUAGUUAUUUGGCUUUGAGACCAUGUUGAAUUUUAUGCAGUUGUUCAAUCACAAUUCACCAUUGUAGAUCGAAUUUAGCUCAGUAGAGAGUAAAGAAAGAACAUAUUAUUUCACUAAGAAGGAAAGAUGAAAAUCUAUAACUAAUUACAAUGGAACAGUAGUAUUUAUACAUUAUCAGCACUAACUACUUUCUAAUAAACUCAUCAUUAACCGACUAACUACCACAUCAAUUAUCUAAUUGCCCCUAGUACAUUUGUAUACAAUAUCAAGUAAUUCCUAUUUCAUUAGACAUAUAACUACCGACAGAGGUGAAAUCAGGAUCUGAAUUUUGUAAGUUUUGUGUAAAUGAAUUGAAAGAGACAAGAACAAAUAUAUUUACACUCUUAAAUGUGUAAAUAAUUAAGACUUGGGACUUGAGAUAUAAGUGUGUAAAUAGACUUGUCCUUGUCCGAAUAGAAUAUAUGCAUUUGGCAGGAAAGUCAAUGAAAUGAAAAGAGUCUUAAUUAGGAGGGAGAAACAUAGUUGUCUUGAACAAAGAAAUUUCCUUUGAUACCAAAUUACAAGGCUAAUUAAUGUACAUUUGUACUUUUUUAUUGAUACUGUGUUUUGAAUAAUGUGUUUAAGUUAUAACUGGCGACUCAAAUUGACAAUCUGACUUGACUUCGAUGUUUUUAAUUCUUGUUCUAUUUUAUUUUUAUGUUCAUAUUGUUGUGAUAGAAUCUAUUUAAUCUUUUUCAUUUGAGUUGAAAUUGUUAUAUAUAAAUUAUUAACAAUGAAAAUUUUUCGUCCAAAACAAUUUAGCCCAUGUUUGUUGUUUGGAAAGAAAGGAGCAUGUUUAGAAAAAUAAAAAAGUACGAAAAGUUUAAACAAAAGAAGAAGAAGAAAAGUGAAAAAAAUAAUGAAAGAAGAAGGAAGAUUAGCAAAGAGAACAAGACUAUCUAUUGUCAAUUAAGUUAUGCUAGUCAUUUGGUUGUCAUUAGUUUACACCGAUUAUCUGUCAUUUCUCCAAUUCUACUUGCUUCCAGAGUUUGAACUUGCAACCCAUUUUUCCUUUUUUUUUUUUUGAAAAAGACAAAAAUAUCUCUUCGGUGUAAAAUAAUGUUACUGAAGUAGCCAUUGAAUUUGGUAUCCCUCUUUUUUAGACCUUUUAACCUUUUAGGGCCAACAACAAUUCUUUUACCUUUUCGGCUACUCCUUUUAUUUCUUUGUUUUUCUAUUUUUUUAAAAACUUUUUUCUUGCAAUUAUCUUUUAAAAGAAAAGUCACUAGUCCUUUAAAUCUUUUAUUUCUUUUCCGCAACUCUUUUUUUAAAAGAAAAAAAAUAUUUGUUGUAACUAAUUUACCUUUUUUCUCCUUUAAUUCAAAGAACAAUUGAUCUAUUUUUUAAAAAAAAUUCUAUCAAACCAAAAAAUAAUCAAUAGUUAUAAAAAUUGGAUUAUUAUUGUAUAAAAGACUUUUUUUGUCAAAUACAUAUUUGAUAUCAAAUAUAUAAAUAUAUAUUUUAUACAAAUAAUGAUACAACUUAUAUACACAUUAUAACAAUAAUUAUAUAGUUUCUAUACACAUUCUAUACAAUAUUUAGCUACAAUAAUUAUUUAGAUACAAAUUCUAUAAAACAGUUAUGCAGUUUAUACACAUCCUAUACAUAUGUUUAUUCUAUACAACAAUGAUACAAAUCAUAUUUUGUACAGUUUUCAUACAUAUAUCUUAUAUUGAUAUAUAUUCUAUUUAACAAUUAUACAUCUUUUAUACAAUUGUAUUUAAUCAUCAUUUUUUUAAAAUAAAAAAUAUAAUUUUUUUAGUCAAAAAUUUAUUUAAAAAGAAAGAUAAAACUUAAACAUUUAAUAAGAAGGGCCGAGUGACCCAAAUUGAUGAAAAUGACUAAAAUGGCCCAACAAGGAAAAGGAGAGCUGAAGCAACCUAAUGGCCAUUUAAUGUCUACACUUUGGUCGAAUGGCCAUGAUUUGGCAACUUCAUCAAAUGUUGGCCAUUUGUUUUAAAAAUGGCCAGGUGGUGUCUUUUUUUUUUGUGUGUGUGUGUGUUUCCAGUGUCUUUAACCCUUAAAAUUAUAGCGUCUUUUAAGGGCAAAUCAUAAAAAUGUAGUAGCUUUACACUAUAAUUACAGAACGCAACAUAGAUUUAAAAAAUUCACAAUAUCUGUCGUGUAUCUCAGAUAUCUCGGUUGAGAUUGUGUAUCUAGGUAUCUUCAGAUACACAUUCUAUAUAAAAAAAAAAAAAGUAUCUUCAGAUAUGUUCUAUAUAUAAAAAAAGAAUAUGUAUUUACAGAUAUAUGUUCUAUUAUAUAUAUGUGUGUGUGUAUAAAGAAAAGAAUGUGUAUCUUCAGAUACACUAGUUUUGCUGUAUUAGGCGUUGUUAGAACGUGGAUCCUUAGGUACACACUGUUUUGUAAUAUUCUUAAAAUUAGGUAUAGUUAUUUAAGUUGAACACUGAUAUUUAUGUAAUUCAACAUAUAUCUUCAGAUACACGAGUUUUGUUGUGUUAGGCGUUGUUCGAACGUGCAUCUUUAGGUACACACUGUUUUGUAAUUUUCCUAAAAUUGGGUGUGGUUACAUACGUUGAACACUGAUAUUUAUGUAAUUUUAUAAUUUUUUUCAUCUUUUAAUCCUUUUGGACUACUAUUACUGCUGGUUUCUUCGGGCUUCGACCCACAAAUAUUUAUUUCCAAUUACUUUGACUGAAUGGGGCUUGACUCAGAGAUUAUUUGGGCUUUUUCAGCCCAACUCAAGGAAUAGAAUCGAAGUCUCAAUGGACUCGACCAGCAUUGCAUGGAAAGAAGGAGAAAUGGAUUAAUGCAUAGUAAAUAGUAUAAAUAACAUAAAUACCAACCUUUUAAAAUUAAUUAUGUGUAUAUGUGAGAUUUUUGUAAUAUGUUUAGGGAGUUGGAGUUUUUGUAAUAUUGAAAACAUAAGUUGUGUAUUUGUGUAAUUUUUAGUAGUAAAUAUAGUAAAUUAUGUCAGGUGUCUCCCAAAGUAUUCGAUCUUGAAUUUUAAACCCCAAAUAUUUGAUCNNNNNNNNNNNNNNNNNNNNNNNNNNNNNNNNNNNNNNNNNNNNNNNNNNNNNNNNNNNNNNNNNNNNNNNNNNNNNNNNNNNNNNNNNNNNNNNNNNNNNNNNNNNNNNNNNNNNNNNNNNNNNNNNNNNNNNNNNNNNNNNNNNNNNNNNNNNNNNNNNNNNNNNNNNNNNNNNNNNNNNNNNNNNNNNNNNNNNNNNNNNNNNNNNNNNNNNNNNNNNNNNNNNNNNNNNNNNNNNNNNNNNNNNNNNNNNNNNNNNNNNNNNNNNNNNNNNNNNNNNNNNNNNNNNNNNNNNNNNNNNNNNNNNNNNNNNNNNNNNNNNNNNNNNNNNNNNNNNNNNNNNNNNNNNNNNNNNNNNNNNNNNNNNNNNNNNNNNNNNNNNNNNNNNNNNNNNNNNNNNNNNNNNNNNNNNNNNNNNNNNNNNNNNNNNNNNNNNNNNNNNNNNNNNNNNNNNNNNNNNNNNNNNNNNNNNNNNNNNNNNNNNNNNNNNNNNNNNNNNNNNNNNNNNNNNNNNNNNNNNNNNNNNNNNNNNNNNNNNNNNNNNNNNNNNNNNNNNNNNNNNNNNNNNNNNNNNNNNNNNNNNNNNNNNNNNNNNNNNNNNNNNNNNNNNNNNNNNNNNNNNNNNNNNNNNNNNNNNNNNNNNNNNNNNNNNNNNNNNNNNNNNNNNNNNNNNNNNNNNNNNNNNNNNNNNNNNNNNNNNNNNNNNNNNNNNNNNNNNNNNNNNNNNNNNNNNNNNNNNNNNNNNNNNNNNNNNNNNNNNNNNNNNNNNNNNNNNNNNNNNNNNNNNNNNNNNNNNNNNNNNNNNNNNNNNNNNNNNNNNNNNNNNNNNNNNNNNNNNNNNNNNNNNNNNNNNNNNNNNNNNNNNNNNNNNNNNNNNNNNNNNNNNNNNNNNNNNNNNNNNNNNNNNNNNNNNNNNNNNNNNNNNNNNNNNNNNNNNNNNNNNNNNNNNNNNNNNNNNNNNNNNNNNNNNNNNNNNNNNNNNNNNNNNNNNNNNNNNNNNNNNNNNNNNNNNNNNNNNNNNNNNNNNNNNNNNNNNNNNNNNNNNNNNNNNNNNNNNNNNNNNNNNNNNNNNNNNNNNNNNNNNNNNNNNNNNNNNNNNNNNNNNNNNNNNNNNNNNNNNNNNNNNNNNNNNNNNNNNNNNNNNNNNNNNNNNNNNNNNNNNNNNNNNNNNNNNNNNNNNNNNNNNNNNNNNNNNNNNNNNNNNNNNNNNNNNNNNNNNNNNNNNNNNNNNNNNNNNNNNNNNNNNNNNNNNNNNNNNNNNNNNNNNNNNNNNNNNNNNNNNNNNNNNNNNNNNNNNNNNNNNNNNNNNNNNNNNNNNNNNNNNNNNNNNNNNNNNNNNNNNNNNNNNNNNNNNNNNNNNNNNNNNNNNNNNNNNNNNNNNNNNNNNNNNNNNNNNNNNNNNNNNNNNNNNNNNNNNNNNNNNNNNNNNNNNNNNNNNNNNNNNUUAAUUCAAUCUGGGAGAGACAGAGAGAGAUAGAGAUUCGUCAUCGCGUUGUUGUUAAGAGGGAAAAUCUGAAUUGCCAUUAUCAACUGCAAUUGUUGCUGCUUCAACAUACACAGGGCAUGUUUCCAACACUUGCUCUGUAUUGAAUAUGAAAGAAGAAAGACACAAUAUUAGGAAAAUUUAUAUGAGGAAGCCAUCUGUUUCCUUUUCUUUGUAAUGACAAUUUGUACACAUUACACAGUGUAGUAUAAACUUUUUCCUGAUUUCUUCAACUUCAUUCAUGUAUAUUGAAUUCAUGUUGAUAAAAAUGUUUUCUAUUAAAGACAAUUACACAUCAAAACUCGAAUUUAAGACAUCUGAUUAAGGAUGAGUGUGUUGUUGGUUUCUUUGAAAUUAUUUUGUGCAUGAAUAUCUAAAGGUAAUUUUAAAAGUAUGAUCUAUCUGUAAGUUCACGUGUACAUUAUACUCUGAAAAUUAUGCUGCAAAAACACAAAGAACGAACACAUAUCUGUUUGAUAAUUUGGAAGUGUAAAAUAGAGAUACAUAUUGAUUGUUUAUUUGCUGCCUGUUCCAGUGUAGCAACAGACUCAACAACAGGAAAUGUAAUAUAANNNNNNNNNNNNNNNNNNNNNNNNNNNNNNNNNNNNNNNNNNNNNNNNNNNNNNNNNNNNNNNNNNNNNNNNNNNNNNNNNNNNNNNNNNNNNNNNNNNNNNNNNNNNNNNNNNNNNNNNNNNNNNNNNNNNNNNNNNNNNNNNNNNNNNNNNNNNNNNNNNNNNNNNNNNNNNNNNNNNNNNNNNNNNNNNNNNNNNNNNNNNNNNNNNNNNNNNNNNNNNNNNNNNNNNNNNNNNNNNNNNNNNNNNNNNNNNNNNNNNNNNNNNNNNNNNNNNNNNNNNNNNNNNNNNNNNNNNNNNNNNNNNNNNNNNNNNNNNNNNNNNAUUGCUCAUAACAAUUAGUUCCUUUCUACUUCAACUUAAUGUAUGUUCUUUUGGUUAUAAGUUCAUCUUCAGUUUCAGUUCUGACUUUGUUGUUUCAAUUAAUUAAACUAGAUUUGAGAGGAAGUCCAUCCCUCCAGGCUGAAGUAAAGACGACAAAAUUGGAUGCUGAAAGAAUGUCAGAUAAAGGUUUUAGGCUCAAGACCUCGAGCACGACUACUCCGGAAUCACAACUAGCUGCUUCAACAUCUGUUGAUGUCAACUUUCAUUUUACAUUAAACCUUACACCAUCAAAAAUCCUACUUUGGUAAGAAUCUAGGCAUUAAAGCAAGUGGAUGUAAUGUUUUUGGAUAGUAGUACAUUUUGCUAAAUGCAGAAAAACAAAUCGCUAAUUUUAGCUGUAUUACUAAUUGUAACAUUGUCAUUCCCAUUCUCAUUACUGGGCUUUACCUUUUGGCUGCAACUGUUCAUGGUCUUCUUGACAUCAUUUGGCUAUGCAUUCAGACAAUUGAAAUAAGUGUGGAUUGAAUGUCAUUUUAGUUAAUCCUAGCAUUAUUGGGAAUCAAAAUGAAUCAGAAACAGUACAACUAUGAAGCCCUGUUCUUCCGAGUUUCCCCGCAUAAGACCUGCCACUACUGCCUGGAGCACACAGUGAUGACAAUGAACAUCAAGGAAGCGAUGCUCUUAAGGCCUAGCAUUUGGAAAAGCAGACUAUAGAACAUGACCACAUCAGUUCCCCUGGGCUGCUGGAAUGAAGGAAUCAGAGUUGAUAAAAUCAACUGCUGUCUGUACUUUCAGAAGGUUAUUCCAUGGCUUUUCUACUUACUUGGAUGCUUCACUGGCCUAUAUGGUGAAGGUUACAGCGGCACUUGACCUAGAACUUUCAGCACAAAAAUAAUAAUUUUAAACUAGUCUGAAACGCGUCCAAAUACCAACAUGCCAUAAAUAGUAACACAAACAUGCUCAAACCACAGGUUAGAACAAUAAUGUGCAAAACCAGAUAUUGGAUUCCUACAAAAUAAUCCUCAUGAUUAUUAUACAACCACAACCAAGCCAUACUGAGUAAUUGGGGCCUGGACAAAAGCUGGCUAAGCCCAAGUCUUUUGAAUAGUACUGUAGUUGUCAGAGUUUACUUACCUUAUAUGGAAAUUCAAGGAACAAAACAUCAUCGGUAAAUACUUACCAGUACUCGGUAUUUACAUCAACUUACUAACACCAUACAUAGUAUUUACCAAAAUCAUACAAGGUUUUUGAGGUUGUACAACUAAACUAUACAUUGGAUCAGUCGAAUUAGAAAAAGAAAAGUCAAGUUUGCUUCAUUGUUUCGUUCUCUGUGCAACCUUUGCAGAAUAUUUGCCUGCAAAUAUACAUUAUUUUACACGAAAAUUAGUUACAAAAUCUGCUAGGGAGAGCCUCGUUGUGUAGUGUAUUCAAAAUGACAUCUUAAUUAGUGAAGAUCACUUGAAAAAAACUAGUGCAAGAAUAAUACACGAUUUUGGGAAAUGUUACAUAGAGACAAUUAACUUUGUCUAGCUCACAUUGCUGGUCCCAAAGUAAGAUAAACGAGGAGGGUUGCCGAGGAUCAAUUGGAAAUAACCUUUCUACCAUAUAAAGGUAAGGUAACAUUGCGUACAUCUUACCCUCACUAGACCCCAUUUGUGGGAAUACACUGGGUUUUUGUUGUUGUUACAUAGAAACCACAAUAAUGGAGACUUAUUUGUAAUACCUUUUAACUAAUAUAAUUGUGUAGUGGUAUGGUAUGGUACAUAACCAAAUAACAUAAAAAGCUAAUUUGGCUGAGGUAGUGGUAUGGUCUGUGUACACUCUACCCUCCCCAAACCCCACUAUGUGAGAAUACACUGGGUAUGUUGUUGUUGUUGCUAAUUUAGCUAGUCAAGAACAUUUCCGACGGACCUCCCAACAGAAAUACCAUAUUUCCGACGAUGUUUCUGUGGGAAAAUGUUGUCAAAAUUUGUGUUUGUUUUAGUAAUGAUACUUACGUAUACUGUUAGAGCAUAGAACUUAAUCUCGACAAAAAUACGUUAGAAUUGAAAGAAAACUUACAAUGGAAGUGUGCUAUAGGUAUUUCCCCAUUUUUUAUCAGUUCAAACUUGUAAGCAUCUCCUACUAGGAGUCCAUUUUCUGUUCUGAAUUUUGUCCAUCCGCAUGUAAUGCCAAAAUUAGUUCCAAGUCUCCCUAGCCACACUGACCAACAUCUCUCUGCUUCGUCUUUAAGAAUCAUCUCACAUUGCCUAUUCAAUCCAUUUGACGUUGCAAAAUCCAUUGGAAGAUACUACCAUAAAAACAAAUUCCAUUAUGUAGCAAAUUUCAGUUGUCACCAAAACAAAAAAAGAAGCAAAGAAGAGGACAACCACCGUAAGAGUUCCAAGUUUUGUAUACUGAUGGUAAAACUUACACGCUCCCAGUGUUUAUAACAAGCCAAUUGAUGCAAGACGUGUAUCUUUUAUGCACACAAUAUCAAUUUAAUUUCUAAUUACUAUGGUUAAUUGUAUGGUUUGAUGUACACCACGUGUACAACUUUUUAUGCUAUCAAGUUGAGUUGGCCUAAGAUAACAGAAAAAUGCUGCAACCAAGAAAAUCGAGCAAACAACCAACUAUAAUAAGUUAAAUUACACUGAUAGUGUAAAAAUCUUUACACGAUUAGUGGGAAUAAUAACUUAAACACUGGCAGAAAUCAGUUCAAAUGACUUACAAAUUCUGUCUUGCGGAUGCAAUAAGGUUUAAUGGUGGAAACAAAAUAAGGAUGAUCAUCAUCACCAGAUGUUGAAGUAGAUACUUGUGCAUUGAGAGGACUCAUGUUUGAAGGCUUUUUCAUAACGUCUGUUGUUUAUGAAGAAAAAUAUAGCAAGAUAAAAAAGAAAGCAUAAUAAGGAAGUGUAACAAUUAGGAAAAAGAAGAUAUAGCAAUGGAUAUGUUUCUUAUGGAAUUAGGCCAUAAUUUCUUAUUUCGACUGAGUGAAAAAUGUAAAAAUAUGUUCUACAGACUUCAAUCUACCAACCAAACAAAAUAAAAAAUACAAGGCAAUAUUUUCCAACAUGAGAAACUUGCCUCGAUACUUCUGCAAUGGAGUUUUUAUGUCACUAGCUCGAAAUUUCCAUAUUGGUGUCUCUCCAUUAAUAACAACCUCAAAUAUUAUAUGAUCUCCCUCCUUUAAGCAAUUAUCAGCAAAGAAUUUACGCCAUCCAUCUCCAAUGUAGACUUCAGCUUCCCAAAUUCCACAACCUUUGUCUUUCAUCUCUUAUGAUCAAAUCGCACUUCUUAACGAAUAGACAGUUUGCGAAUGCAAAUUGUUUGGGAAGGUACUGAAAUGGUGUAUAACCGUUUGCACACAUCAGUAUUGAACAGUUCAUGUUCUUAAUUCAUAUUUGCACCAAGAAUAACUCCAAUUAGCAUAGAGAAAAAUGACAAAAAGGACAAACAAUGUUAAAAAACAAAAAAAAAUCAUGUGGUAGCAAGUUUACAAUUUUUUGGGGUUACUAAUUAAUGCUUACCAUAGAAGUUUUCUUGCAAUUGUUUAAUAAGUAAGGUAAAAAUAUUUACAUUAUCAGAGUAUAAAGCCAAUUAAAAUCUAAGAAACAUGACACAUAUGCAUCCUGGUAAAAACUUACUUGCACCGGGUGUUUACACCAAACUAAUGUAUCCAGGAGAUGAGUUUGAAUACACACAAAUAUUACUCACCAUAAUCGAUUAAUGUAUAUUUUCACUCCAUUAAAUCAAUUUAAUCAUGAAGACUACUUGAAUUAAAUUGGUUCGGUAUAAUGGUACGGAGAGUAUUUACCCAUGUUACCUCAGUUCCAUCAAAGUUUAGUCAACAAACUGAGCUCUUAGGUGAGCUCCUAUCGCAACUUCUGGAGAGUUGUAUGGAGCUGGGAGAGAAGGAAGGACGAAUGUAACAUUGUGAAAUGAAAAUGAAAUCUCAAACUCUAUUGGCUGUAAUCAAGCAGAUUAUAUAGAAGAGAUUAAGCAAACAAAAUAUCUGGCUAAUCUAACUAAGAGCAGGUAACAGCUGGCAAACCCCACGUGUGCUAACUAACUGACUAAUACUAUAAAUAACUAACUAACGAAGAGCUGCGUGUUUAACUUACCUAGAAGAGCUGUGUGUUUAACUUCUAUCAGAGCCUUGGUUAACAUAUAUACUAAUUUAAAUGAGACCUUCCUGUGGCUAGUCUCUCACAAAAUGGUUAUCCCCCCAAUGUGUUUGUCUCUCAUGGAAAAUAGAGUUUCUUUCGAUAUGCAAAGCUGACUGGUAGCUAUCACAAUGCUGAAAUAGGAGUCGAAAAUGGCAGUGGGUUCUUGAAGAAAUUUGUUUAACCGUAGUAGUUUACCAACCACCUUUCUCAAUAAUCCAUAUUCUGCCUAUGCUAAAGACAAGAGACUCUAUCUUGUUUCCUUGACUUCCGACUAAUGGGAUUAUUACAUAUGUAGCUUCUUACAGAUCUCCUUGAAUCAGAGUCACAGAAGGCUCUUAUUGUGCAAUUUGGAUCUCUGAGCGUGAAAAUCCCUGAGGUGGGAUCACCCUUCAAGUAUCUCAACAAGUGAAACAUAGCUUUUACAUGAGGCUUUCUAGGUUCCUGAAUAAACAGACGGAGGUGUUGAACAACAUAAGUUAUGUCCAAAUUUGGAGUUAGUAAGGAAAUUUAGUAAUAUGUUGGAUCUUCUAGCUCAGUGCUUUCUUUCGCCUUUAGUUUCACAUUAGGGUCAAGGGGAGAGGAGAAGUUGAUGUACCCUCUGCAGUCAUAUUCCUUCAGACAACUAAGAAAAAAAACUUCCUCUGUGAGAUGAUGACAACGGCAUCCUUAAAGUAUUUCCAGUCCCAAAAAAUAAUGCAAUUCAAUUAGAUCCUUAAUCUUAAAACUAUUAAGUAAGAAAGUCUUUAGUUGUUCAAUCUCAUCCAGAUCAGUUCCAUUGAUUAGCACAAAUCCCACAUUUUGCAGCAACUAUAAUUGAGGAGCUUGUCCUUUUAUGAAACAAUAAAUAAUCAUUUAAAGAAGGAUUCUAACCGUUUGACCAAAGGGCUUACAAAUUUAGCAUACCACUGUUUGCUUGCCUGCUUCAAACCAUACAAUGAAUUGUCUGUUGGAUCUCCAUAUACACUUCCACAUGUAAAUCUCCAUGAAGGAACGCACUGUUAACUGACAUCUAAUUGAUAGAUGUACUGGCUUUUCUUCAUUGCAGUGGCCACCCAGGAUCUCACUGUAGUCAUUUUCAUAACUGGGGAAAGGGCCAUUGUGUAAUCAAUUCCUAACUGCUGAGUAUAACCUUUCACCACAAGUCUAGAUUUAAGCCUUUUAAUGCUACCAUUGGCUUUAUGUUUUACUUUGUUCACCCAUUUACACUCAAAAGACUUGCUUGUUUACAGGCAAAGGAAACAAUUCGCCUCAAACUCGUGUCAUAGACAUUUGCCAAACAAGAUUGAUGAUUGCCUCUUCAUAUGAAGUUGGUUCAUUGUCCUUACAAACAUUUUCAACAAGUUUCUGAAUUUCAUGGACUAACAGAUCAGAUGUAAUGUGGUGGUUCAUUGAAAAUAAACCAUUGAGAGAAAUGUUGUAAUGAGAGUUGAGACUUGAGAUAGCUAGUUGGUUCGAGGAUAGGAAGGGAAUGGACAUAGUAUUUGAGGUGAGCGGGCGCUCCGGGCUCCCUGUGUGAUCUUCUCGCCUCCUGUUUGAAAACAAGUCUCAGUUACGGAAUGAAAUUAGGUCUAUCGUUCUGCUUGGGCUGGCAUAUGCACGAAUCAAGGGAUAUUGGUGCUAAUACGGAUGAAGAUGAUGGAAAGGAUUCAUUGUAAGUGUCAUGAGCAACAAGAUUCCUACUAGGCGACAUUUGAUAAGAUAUAGCACUUUGACUUCCUUGAUUAUCAAAUACAUGUUCUAAUUGAUCCUCUCGUAAUGAGUGGAAGGACUUUAUAGCAUCGGGAAUGGAUGGAGAACAAUUAGAUCAGGAAGCUUAGAAGGAAAUGUGUUUUCAUGGAAAUAACAUCUGUGAAAACAUACUCAGUGCCACUCUCAGAACUUUGUAUACUUUGGUUUCACAAAAACAUAUGGAACUGUUCCCGGUUUCAAACUUGUCUCUAAGGUUUUUAGGUACAGUAACAUGUGUGAGUAAUCUGCUUUCUUUUCAUAUAGGAUCUCAAAGGGGCACUUGUACUGUCAUGUGUGAGUAGUUUGCUUACUUUUAUACAGGUUCUCAAAGGGGCAUUUGUUCCUAAGGUAAGUUAUGGGAUGUCUAUUGAUGAUAUAGGAGCUGUCAAUAUGCACUUCCCCCAGUACUUAACUGGAAGUUUGGAUUGAAAUAAAUGUAUUGGCUAUCUCUAAGAGGUAUUUGUGUUUCCUUUCCACCACACCAUUUUGUUGUGGUGUUUAAGGGCAACUUUUCUGAUGGAUGAUGCCUUCGGCUUAAAUGAGUCCAAGUGCACCUACUGUAGUCAUCCACCAUGGUAGGAAAAUACUUUUUAUUUACAUGGGUAGACACAUGAUAGGGUCCCCACAGAUCAAUGUGUAACAGCUCAAAAAUCUGGUCUGUGAAGUUUUUUUUUUUUUUUUUUUUUGGAAAAGGUGGUUUGGUUUUCCUGGCCAUGGGGCAGAUGAAACAAAGAAAAGCUUGUUUGGGAGAAAGAUUGGCAGGUACAGAAGAUGCACUUCAUUUUACCAAAAGGGAUGUAACACGUGAAUCUACAUCAUUCCCAUCAGGCAUGCGAGAAGUGAUAGCAUGCACUUUAAUAAUAGUAGAAUUAGUCACAAAAUCAUUUGUGUUAUAGUGCACUCUAUUGAAAGAGGAGUUGCAAGUCCCCCAUUGUAUACAUGAUCAACAGAGCUAGAAUAGCAGAACCAGAAAUGCAAGAAUAAGAGUUAGUAUUCUUCGUUGGAGUGACUGAAUUUCUCAAGUAGAGAGCAUAGAAGGUAUAGGUCACCAAUCUCCAGAGGCCUUUUCAAUUAAGGGGAAGCAUUGUCAGCUAUGUUGCUCAGACUCUUCAAUAAUGUCAAUGGGUGUGUGUCAAAUUCUCCAAAAGUAGUGUAUUUUUGGAGAAUCCGACAUUGGUGCAUCAUCGGAAGUGAAAAGUCCACACAACUAAAAUUUUAAGUAAAAAAGGUAAGCCUUAAAGGUUUAGGGUCAAACAAUGUACAUAAAUAAGAUUGUAUUUGAAAGAAGGAACAAAGGGAACUUUGUACAGAAUAAUUUCAGGAGUCGGUGCUACAUUACCAAUCCCAGUCACCUUUACUUCAUAUCUAUUAGGAAGACAAAUAAACACAUGAUAUGGUAAAACUGUAAUGCUGGACAAAUUAGAUUUUUUAAAGGUCAGGUGAUUGAAGCACCUGAUUCUAUGAUUCAUGGGUCAGCCCUGGUUUUCAAACAUUUGCAUGCAUUUUACCAAAUCAAUUGAAGUGAAGAGUCCGCACAACUUAGAUUUUCAGAAAAGAAGGUAGUGCCUUAAAGGUUUAGGGUCGAACAAUGUACAGAAAUAAGAUUCUGAUUAAUAGAAGGAACAAAGAGAACUUUGUACAGAAUAAUUGACCGCAUAUUUGUAGGAGUUCCAUUUACAUUUGCGACUUUCCUCUCCCCUUCCAAUUAGGAAUACCUAUAUCGUACAUGAAAUUUUUGUUCUGAGAACUGAGCCUGAUUUGUCUUUGUUUUUCAUCAUGAAUCAAGAGAGAAAAAGCUUUUGCGUACGGGAUUCAUCAUCAGAAUAUUUUCCCUAACUGCAGUGUACACUUCGUUUAAUACCAUCAAAACUGGAUUAACCUCCUGUCAUGUUCUGCUUUAUGGAUGUUUUCCUUGGCAGUUGCACUGAGUUUUAGCACUCAAAAGUGUUCAGUUUUUCCCAGAGUUUCUUCAUUCUGGUUUAGUAGCUGGUGUCUAAGGUCCCUUGUGAUAGGUCAUUAAUUACCUUCUGAAUCUGACAGUUUUGUCCCAUUAAUCUGAUCAUACGAUCCUCCAAUUCAUUCCACAACUCAGCUGCAUGUUCAAAAUCCACGGUGUAACCUUAUCAUCACAGGUCUCCCACAAAUGAUAGUAUGGAGACUUCAAAUCUGCCGUUUUGCAUUCUCCAUUGACGAAUCCAAGUUUAUUCUUCACUGUAAGAGAUCAUAAUGCGUCUCUUCUCCAAUAUCUAUAUCCAAUUCCAUUAAAGGGAGCUGGUACAAGAAUUGCACCUGGAUUAUCUGACGGAUGCAUGUACAAAGGGCUAGUCGAGUCAAUGGCAGACCGAACCUCCUUGUCAGUAACAGUCACGGAGAUACUCAAUCAAUUGAUGAUUUCCAAGGAAAAAUUCAGAAACUGAAGUGGAAAUGAGAAAUCGAUCUUCAAUUACAGAAACUCACAUAAAUCUGUAAUUGCAUGCCUAAACUCGAUAAUCAAAUGCGACCAAUUGCUGACGCAAAAGAACGUAGGUCUUCGAGAUAGACCAAGGCUCUGAUGCCAUGCCAAAGUUCAGCAUGAUAAACUGAGCUCUGAGAUGAGCUCCUAUGUUGACUUCUGGAGAGUUCUACAGACUACAGAGAUGGAGUUCGAGAGACACAGAAGGAAUAAUGUUAUAUUUGUGAAAUGAAAAUGAAAGAUCAACCUCUAUUUGUUGUAAUCAAGUAGAUUAUAAACGAACUGCUAACAAAAUAACAGCUGGCAGAGCCAACUUCGCUUGUGCUAACUAACUAACUAAUGAAAUAACUCGGCUACAAGUAACAAAUACAAUACAUUAAAGCAAUAAACACUUCUCAAUAAGUUUAAUGAGCCUUGAGACUUGCCAAGAGGCCUCUUGAAAGACAGUAUUCGCUAAUAGUGCAUUCAAAAUGAGAUUGAGGAAAAGGCUUGUUAGUAGCAGCUUCUGCAUGGGAAGAAGUCUCAUUUGACAACUAGAUGCUGGGGCUCGGUCUUUCUGUUACAUUUUCAAGAAACUAAGUAUGACAAAUGAUACAUGAAAAUAUUAGCAGAAUUUAAAAUCCAUCCCCACCUUUUGACUAAUCCAACAUCAGUUUUUCUUAUAAAAUCAGCAUCAUUUGGCUUAUGUAUCAUUUUCCAUUAGAAGUUGCGCAAUUUAAUCAAGAAAAUGACACUUCUCUAUAACACUUUGAUUACACCAUCUCUAGAGGAAACAGAAAGUGUAAAACUUAUUUUCUAAAUUUGUAACUAUGCUUUGUAUGAUUUAAAAUGUUCGUAUGAAAUAUUAUUUAAUUUCAUGAAAAAAAUUUUACAGACCUAUUAACUUAAUUAAUAAAUCAUUUCUAGCUAGCAGGGGCAGAUCUAGGUUCAAGCAAGGGGGUUUAUAGAAUUUCUUUUGCUGAAAAAAUUAUAAUGUGCAAAUAAGAUAAAAAUGAAUCUGUUUUUAUUAUGUUACUGUUGAAUCUUCUUGACACAAGAAACGAUUAUGAUAUAGCGAUAAUAAAAGAAAAUCAUCAAAAAAAAUAAGAAGCCGGUUAUAAGAUGAGAAACUUGCCUUGAAACGUCUUCAUUGGAAUUUCUCCAUCACUAAAAACUUGAAAUUUCCAUAUUGGUGUCUUCCCGUUAGUGACAACCUCAAACUUAAUACGAUCACCCUCCUUUGUACAAUUUUCAGCGAUGAGCUUACGCAAUCCAUAUCCAAUGUAGGUUUGAACUAGAGUACCGCCAAAACUUAGAUUUAAAUUCCACAAUCUUAGUCUAUCAUCUCUUACAAUCAACCCGCACUUCUUGUUGGUGAGCCCAUUUGCAAUUGCAAAUUGUUGAGGUACAUACUGACAUAGUGUAUAUAUGUGUAUAAACAUUAGAACACGUCAUUAAAAAGUUCACGUUCUUCAAACUUUCACCGAAUUUAUAACACCAAUGAAAAAAAGAAAAUAAAAAUAAAAUUGUGCAAUGGUUCCGUUAGCCAGUGACAAGUGGCAAAGACAUCGGCGGAGCUAGGAUUGAAACUAUAUGGAUUCCAGAUUUUAGAACUACUAUUUCAAGUGCUAAUAAGUGGGUUCUAAGUUUAAUAAGUGUCCGUAUUUGAUGAAUUUCUUAACACAAAUAUAUUGUUAAAGCAAAAAUAUUGGGUUAGGCCGAACCCUUACCCGGGCUUAUACCUCUGCCCCUGACGUCCAAUCAAAAGCAUUAGAACCCCAAUCGACUCAAAUUAACAAUUAUUCAAUAUUACUUGCACAAAAGAUGCAUAAGAUAUUGCUUUAGCCUAAGAUUGGCGAUGUAAAGAUUUUUUUACAUUAUGAGAUUGCAGGUUUACCAUUCUUUGGGCUACCAAUUAAUGCUCACCGUAGAAAUUUACUUACAAUUGCAUAAUAAGUUGUGCAAGCUGGUCCGAACAUCAUGGUUAUACAAAAAAAAGUUACAUAACAAGUAAUAUUGGGUAAAACAAAAGAUUUACACUAUUGGAGUAUAGAAAACUUAUUAAACUAUAAGAACAUGGCACACAUGCUUCCUUUAGUGCAAUGAGUCUUGAAACUUAACAAGCGACCUCUUGAAAACAUUUUUUGUGUAACAGUGCAUUCAAAAUGAGAUCGAACAAAAGGCUUGUUAGUAGCAGCUUCUUCAUGGGAAGAAAUCUUAUUUGGCAAGUCGAUGUCGGGGCUCAGUUUUUCUGUUACAUUAUCAAGAAAGUAAAUACAAUCAGACCACAGUCAUCCUAUGUGACAACAUUUUGCCUAAACUACCAAGUUUUCUAUGAAACCAUAUUUUUAUGUUAUGUUAUAUUAUAUGUUCUCUAUAAUAAUAUUACGAAAAAAGUAUCCAGACAAACAAUGUUGUUUCAGAGAGGUUAACCGAAUAACAAAUGAUACUUAAAAGGAUUAACAUAAUUUGUUUUUUUAAUGAAGUUGUUGUAUUGAAAAGGCAUGAAAAAUUAUAAAACAAAUGGUUAUAACUCCAAAUACUGCAAAAAGAAGCAAGUAUAACUGAUAAAAUCAAAGGGGGGAUGAUAUCAUUUACGGGGGAAGGAUUGCUCCAGCUAUAAAGGGUCAUCAAACAUUUGACCUAAGAGAGCAGUUAGGAGUUGCAGUCCCAUUAAAACAUCUUUAGUUCCUUUCAUUCCAUAAACGGUCUUAUUCACUUUCGAUAAACUCCAGCUUUCAACUGCUUGCUUUAGGUUGAGGAAGGUCAUAAACUAAUUCCAGAAAUAGCCAAAAACAUAGUCCAAAGACCAGCGGCCACAGGGCAGUGCAAUAGCAAACAGUUUAUAGGUUCUAAGUUGUUUUGGCGCACAAAACACCUCUGCACCACUAGAAUGUCUCUCUUCCUUAGGUUUUCAUUAUGAAGGGUUGUCCAAGUAAAACAUUAAACUUUGGGGGUAAUUUUGUAUUCCAAACCAACUUCCAGGGCCAAGGUCUUGUCACUCCUCUGCUGCAUUCAGGUGAUUAUAGCCUGCUUUCACUAUGAAAAGCCUUAAGUUGUCUGAAAGAUGGGAUUGAGUAGUCUGUCAGCAACCUUUAUAGAUCAGUAAGUUCCUCCAAUUCCCAAUCUUGUAAGUUUCUUCUUAGAUGAAUAUCACAUGUGUUGCCAUUGCUAUUAUCAGCUGCAAAGGAGUUUAGUUCUUCAGCUAAAAGGAAAAUCCUGUGAUGAGAGUCUUUGAGGGGAUGAUUGAUUACCCACUUAUCUUUCCCAAACUAAACCUUAGAGCCAUUUCCAACCUUAAAGGACAUUUCUUUGAAGAAGUCAUCCUGAAAAUCAUCGAUAUGCUUCCAAGGGCCAACAUCAUGAGGAAGUGUAAUUCCGUUUGGUGCAUCAAUCAUCCAGUUUACCAUAUUCUACAUUCAUCACUUCCUUCCAUAGGUGAGUGGUUCCUUGGCCAUGCCUCCACCACCAUUUUAGAAGAAGGCUUUUCUUCUGUUUGCUGGAUCUCUAACACCCAGACCUCUCUGUUCCUUUGGCAAUAUGACCUUAUCCUAAUUCACAAGAUGAAAUUUAUGUCCUUCACUAUUUCUUCCCAUAGGAAAGCCCUUCUUAGACCAUCCAAUUGCUCUUUCACCUCAUAUGGCAUUGGAACAAGGGACAUGAGGUAGGUAGGAAUAUCGUCCAAUAUAGUAUUGAUUAGAGUCAGUUUUCCCAUACAUAGAUAUUGCAUUUUCCAGUUUGUCAAUAUCUUUUCCACCUUCUCCACCACUCCAUCCAUAUCUCAGGUGCUUUGUAUUUUGAACCCAAAAGGAGGCCCAAAUAAGUAGAGGGGAAGGAGAAUGUGUCGCACCCCAGAAUCCCUAUCAGAGUAUUCAAGUUUGAGAUUUCAUUGACAGGGUAGAUCUUGCUCCUCAUCAUGUUAAUAUGCAUUCCAGAAACAACUUCAAAUUGCAUGAGGGUUAGAUUGAGAUAAAGAACUUGGAGUGUCUCUGCCCCACAAAAGAUUAGGAUAAUAUCAUAUUAUAAUAAGUGGGAGAUUGAAAUAGAAUUGUUUGGGCAACUUUCUACCUUGAAGUCCUCAAUCCAGUGAUUUGCUUUCGCUCUAUCGAACAUCUUGUUCAAACCUUCCAUGACUAAAACAAAUAAGAAAGGGGAAAGAAGGUCCUCUUGUCUUAUUCCUUUUUGAGGGGAGUAAAGGCGAACUGGCCUCUUGUUCCCCAGGAUGGAGUAUUUUACAGCUUAGAGACUGUAUUUGAUCCAUCAACCUCCAAAACUCAUUUGCUUUAGCAUAUCUAGCAAGUAGGGCCAGCUUACUUUGUAAAAGCUUUCUCCACAUCUAGCUUGCAUAAAAUUCAAGGAGUUCCUAAUUUCUGUCUUCCACCUAGCAUUUCAUUUGCAAUCAAAGAAGCAUUAGUGAUCUACCUGUUCUUAAGAUAGGCAUUUUGCUAGCCAUAAACCAGUUUCCAAAUCACUGUUUUGAGUCUCAGCUAAAAUUUGGGCUAGCAUCUUAUAGAGGCUUCCUAUGAGAGUUAUAGGCCUGAAGUCUCCAACGUGCAAUGCUCCCUUUCUUUUUGGUAUAAGAGCUAUAAAUGAGGGCGUAUUAUCGGAUUUGACCAUGCAGCAGUGCCAAUGAAAAUGGUUGAGAGCUCCCAUACUAUCAUACUUGGUGACAUCCCAUGUGCUUAGAUAGAAGGCCAUUGUGUAUCCAUCAGGCCCUGAACUCUUGUCAGGAGCACAAGAAUUAAUGGCUGCUAAAUGCUCUCACCUCUUCUUCUUCAAAGUUCUUUUCUAUCCAAAUUUUCUCUUCUCGAGUGAUGAUGUUGAGAUUCUCAAAGCUUGCUUUGGGCCUCACUGUUCAUCCUCCCUGUACAAAGCUUGGUAAAAUCUCAAGAUCUAACUUUUGAUUUCUCCUUCGUCUUCACAAAUUCCCAUUAAUCAACAGCUUAUCAAUUUGAUUGCUUCUCCUGUGAGAAUUGACUACUCUUUGUAAAAGUUUGGUGUUCCUAUCUCCUAACUUAAGCCACAAACAUCUUCAUUUCUGCCACCAAGAUACCUUUUCACUCUCUGCUGAUUCCUUCGGUUUUAGCUUUAGAUGGAUUGUGCUCUCCUUUUUCCCCUGUGACAUAUGCCUGCCUUCAGUAGCUUGCUCAAGGAUAGUUAAUUCCUCCAACAUCCUUUCCAUCUGAGUUUCUAGUCUUCCAAAGGUCUCUCUGUUCCAGCUAGUAAUGUCUUUCUUUAGAUUUCUAAGCUUUUGAGAUAGGACAAAAUCUGGACUACCACCAAUAUUGUACUUCUGCCACCAAGCUCUAACCAUUGCAGAGAAACCUUCUGUUAUUAGCCACAUUAUUUCUUACUUGAAAUAGGAGGAAUUAGUGUCUCAAUCACCUCUUUCCAGAACCAAAGGUCUGUGGUUUGAUACAACUCUAGGCAUGGCUAAUUGUUUUAUAGCAUUGAAAGUAUCACUCCACUCUGCGGAGACUACAAACCUGUCUAUUAAGGAUGAACAGAAUUUAACUAAUUCCAUAUUAGUUUCUCUUAUAAAGUAAGUAUCAUUUGGUUAAUGUAUUAUUUCCAUUACAGAUCGCAUAAUUAAUCAAAAGAACAAUUUCCAUAAAUAACAGAAAAAUGAAAGUUGAGGACCGAAACUGGCGUUCACAUAUUUCAAUCUAUAAACUUGAAUGAAUACAUACACAACAAACUGAACUUUCAUUAGACUUUGAUUUAAAGCCAGUUAAGAUGAAGUACUCUAGUUAUAACAAGAAGCAACUAAAAAGUACAUUUUUACAUAACAUUUCAGUAACACCAUCUCUAGAGGAACAGAACGCGUAAAUUUAUUUUCUUCAUUUGUGACUAUGCUUAAUAUAAAUCAUUCCUAGCAGGGGUAGAUAAAGGUUAAAGCAAGGGGGUUUAAUAGAAUUCCUUACGGUGAAAAUUAUAAGCAAUGUGCAAAUAGGAUAAAACCGGAUGUUAUUAAUUAUAUGUAAACUGUUCAAUCUCCUUGAUAUAAGGAAAGAUUCUAAUAUAGCGACGAUAAAAAAGAUCACCAAAAAACAGGAGGCUGGUUAUAAGAUGAGAAACUUGCCUUGAAACUUCCUAACCGGUGUCUCUCCAACAGUAACAACUUUAAAUUUCCAUAUUGGUGUCUCUCCAUUAGUGAUACCUCAAACAUAAUAUAUCUCCCUCCUUUAAACAAUUUUCAGCAAUGAAUUUAUGAAAUUCAUCACCAAUAUAGGAUUGAGUACUACUGGAACUUAGCUUUAAAUUCCACGACCUUUGUCUUCCAUCUCUUACAAUCAACCCACACUUCUUGUUGGUGAGACCAUUUGCAAUUGCAAAUUGUUUAGGCACAUUCUAACAUGGUGUACAUAAGAGUAAAAACAUUUGAACACAUCACUAAAACUUCAAAUUUUCACAGAAUUUAUAACACCAAUUAACAAAGAAAAUAAAAAGUGUGCAAUGCUUCCUUUAGCUCUACGGCACAGACAAAGGCGGAGCUAGGAUUGCAAUUAUAGGGAUUCUAAAUUUUAGAACAACUACUUCAAGUGCUAAUAAGUGGGUUCUAAAUUUAAUGUUUGUCCAUAUUCAAUUAAUUUCUUAACACAAAUAAAUUGUUUAAGCAAAAUUUAUUGGGUUUGCUGAACCUGUAUCCGGGCUUCUACCUCUGCCCCUGACUUCAAAUCAAAAGCAUUCAAACCCCAAUCGCCUCAAAUUAAAGCUAAUUAAGCAGCAUGGAACCCUACUUUUAACAAUAAGUCAAUAAUAUUUACACAAAACAAUAUGGUAUUGCAUUAGCCUAAGAUUCUUGAAGAGUCUGUGUGAAUGAGUUUUGAGACAAUGUCAAGGAACUUCUGAAAAGGCUAUCUUGUCUAGUAGUGCAUUCAAAAUGAGAUCGACCAAAAGGCUUUUCAUGAGUAGCAGCUUAACAGUGUAAAGAAUUUUUCUACAGUAUGAGAUAGCAGGUUUGCCAUUUCUUUGGGCUACCAAAGAAAUAGCACGUUUGCCAUUUCUAUAUUAUGAGAUAGCAGGUUUGCCAUUUCUACAUGGUCUGAGUACAUUUUACCAAUUAAUACUUACCGUAGAAAUUUACUUACAAUCACAUAAAUAGGAAAUCAGAUUGGGUAAAAAAUAAAUUACACUAUUGGAGGAUAGAACUAAUUAAACUGUAAGAAACAUGGCAAACAUGCUUCCUUUAAUGCAAUGAGUCUUGAGACUUACCAAGGUACCCUUAAAAAGCAAUAUUGUCUAAUAGUGCAUUCAAAAUGAGAUUGAACGAAAGCCUUUUUAGUAGUAGCAGCAGCUUCAGCAGGGGAAGAAGUCUUAUUUGACAAGUCGAUGUUAGGGCUCAGUGGUUCUGUUACAUUGUCAAGAAAUUAGACACAGUAAGACCAAAGUCAUCCUCUGUAACAACAUUUCACUAUAACGACCAAGUUUUCUAUGAAACAAGUUUGUAUGUUAUAUUAUAUGUUCUCUAUAACGGCAUUUUGCAAUGGUAGCCAAAUGACAUCCAGACAAAUGAUGAAUGUUGUAAAUGAUACUUAAAAAUGAACAGAAAUCAAAUAUCCACCCCUACCUUUUGGCUAAUUCCAGGUUAGUUUUUCUUAUAAAUGAAGCAUCAGUUGGUUAAUGUAUUGUUUCCAUUGCACGUUGAAUAAUUAAGCAAAAGAAUAACUACAACAACAACAUCCCCAGUAUCAACAACAAACCCAGUGUAUUCCCACCUAGUGGGGUCCGGGGGGGUAAGAUGUACGCAGUCCAUACCUCUACCUCUGAUGAAGUAGAAAGGUUGUUUCCGAUAGACCCCCGGCUCAAGGCACGAGAUACCACACAAACACAUAGUAAAGCACAGAAGCAGAUUACAUAACAUAAAUACGGCACCCAUAAGUAAUAUUAAACAGAGGAAAGCAGAGGAAAGCACACAAAUGCGUAAUAAAACAUGGAACACGGAACACUGAAUCAUAACAGGAAUAAAACCCCCACCAAGUAAUCCCCUACACUAGCGACCCAAACUGGCCCUAAUCCUCUGCCGUAAUUCGCGCCCUCCAGACCUUCCUAUCUAGGGUCAUGUCCUCGGUGAGCUGUAACUGUUCCAUGUCCCGCCUAAUCACCUCACCCUAGUACUUCUUCGGCCUACCCCUACCCCGCCUAAAACCAUCCAACGCUAGCCUCUCACACCUACGGACCGGGGCAUCCAUGCCCCUCCUCUUCACGUGUCCGAACCAUCUCAAUCGUGCUUCCCGCAUCUUGCACUCCACUGAAGUCACACCAACCUUCUCCCGGAUAGUCUCAUUCUGAACUCUAUCCCCUCUAGUCAGUCCACACAUCCAGCGCAACAUCCGCAUUUCUGCCACCUUCAUUUUUUGGAUGUGGGUGUACGAUGUCCAUAUCACUACCUUAGAGGUGAGGUAGAGAGAAUGUUUCCUAUAGGCCCCUGGCUCGAGACCAAACAACAUAAGAAAGACAUGAUAUAAGAACAAGAAACAAAAGGUAGUAACAAAACAACAGACAUUAGCAGAACAAGAUUAUCUCCAAAUAUCCACCAAAAAACCUGAAACAACAAACAACACCCAAAAACUCCAAGAACAAGACACUACCCGUGACAUGCUACAACUACUAGCAAGGAUAACAAACAAAUGCUCCUAUCUACGGCCCCUUUUCUAUUAAUCUUCCACCCUAAUACGCAUCAUCCACACCUUCAUAUCUAGGGUCAUUUCCUCAGUAAGAUGUAACUGCUUCAUUUUAUGUCUAAGCACCUCCCUCCAAUAUUUAUUCGGUCUACCCUCGCCUAAAUCCAUCCAUAGUCAACCUCUCGCAUCUUCGUAGUGGGGAAUCCAUGCCCCUCCUCAUCACAUGCUCUAACCAUCUCAACCUCUCUUCACACAUCUUAUCUUCUACUGAAAUCACUCCCACUUUGCGACGGAUAACCUCAUUUCUAUCUCUCCUAGUAAACCCACAACAUCCAUCACAACAUCCUCAUCGCCACCACUUUCAUCUUUUGAAUGAGUGAGUUCUUGACUAGCCAAUACAGCGCCACAUAAAACAUAGUUCAUCUAACCCCCAUAAAUCAUAGAAAAAUGAAAGAACGAAACUAGCUUUCAUAGAAUUUAAUCUCUAAACUUGAAUGAAUACAUACACUAAACUGCACUUACAUUAGACUUCCAAUUAAAGCCAGCUAAGAUGAAGUACUUUGGUUUUAACAAGAAGCAGCUAAAAAGAACAUUGUACAGAACAUUUCAAUAACACCAUCUCUAGCGGAAACAACAAACAACAGCAACAUACCUAGAUUAAUUCCAAAAGUGGAGUAUGGGAAGAGUAGGAUGUACGCAUUACCCUUACCGAGGGUAGAAUUUAAGAUAGACCCUAGGCACAAAAGAGAAGUUUCCAAGACGGAAUUGCAAGAAUGAUAUGAAAACAAAAUAGCAAGACAUAAAGCAAAUGAAACAAUGGGUAGUAAUAAGCAAUAAAGUAUAAGAGACUACAUGACUAAAAAGCCCCCAACAUCUCCAACAUAAAGUGCGACAAUGCUCAACUACUUAAUAGUCUUCCACCCUAAUCCCAACUUCCAAACCUUCCUAUCUAUACAAAAUACUUACGUCCCCAGUACAAGCUCCGUUAAUGAAAAUUUAUGUCAAUUCGUCUAUCACUAAGGCAAAUAGGAAUGAGCUAAGGGUUGAACACCGAUGCAACCCAUCACAAUUAGAAAGUGCUCUAAGUCACCUCGCACUAAUCUAACCAAGUCUUGACUCCAUCACACAUGUAUUUAAUUACCCUAGUGUAAGCCAAAGGUACAUAUUUAGACUUCAAACAUCUCCAAAAGACCUCCCCAUGGACCUUAUCGUAAGUCAUUUCCAGGUUAAUGAACACCAUGUGUAAAUCUCUCUUCACGUUCCUAUACUGCUCCAAUACACUCCUUACAAGGUGAAUGUCUUCAUAGUUGAUGGCCUAAAAUGAAUCUAAAUUGGUUCUCAAAAAUAGACACACACCUCUUUAUCCUCGUCUCGACCACCCUCUGCCAAACUUCUAUAGUACGACUUAGUAGCUUGAUAUCUCUGUAGUUGUUGCAAUUCUGAAUAUCACCCUAGAUCUUGUACAACGAAACCAAUAUAGUCCCCCUCCAUUUUUCUGGUAUCCUGGAUGUUCUAAAUUUCUGGUAUCUUGGAUGUUCUAAAUAUGACAUUAAACCACUAAAUCACCCACUCCAUACCUGCAUGCAUGCUUUCAUAAAUCCACCGGGAUCUCGUCUGGCCUGAUCACUCUCUCCCUUCUUAUCUCUUCUCCCUCACCUUGCCAAGCCUAUACAACUUUAUAUCCCCGCCUUUGCAGUCAAGCUCUCCCUACAAGUACUCAAAAGUAGUUGUUUUAGUCGUUGUGACUACUAUUUUCACUUUCUUCUUCGUUUAUAUCUCUCUAUUUCUCAUCUAAGCUUUCCACUAAUGUCAUAUAAGCAACCUUUUUGGCUUUCACUUUUGCCUGGACAUCUACAUUCCACUAUCAAUCCCUUUUAUGCCGACCUAAGCUACUGCUCGAGACCUUUAGUACCUUUCUAGUUGUUUCUCUAUUGUAGUCAGUUGUCCUAGCCCACAUAUUAUUGUGUCCCCGCUACUCCCCGCCUCAAUUCUAGAGGAAACAAAAUGUCUAAAUUUAUUUUCUUCAUGAGAUAAUGGUAAAAACACGCCGAAAGUAUAACUUUUUGCGAGUUUCAAACCUAAACUAUCAGAUGUUUGCAUUUCCUUACACUCUUUUUUGUUUAAAAAUGGUGCCAAAUGGCACUCCAUGCGGAUAAUUAAAGGAAUGAAUUGAAAAUUUAAAAAAAAUUAAGAGAUAAUGGUUAAAACACACACCUAAAGCAUCACUUUUUUGUGUGUUUCUUACUUAACCUAUCAUGUGUUUGCAUUUCUCCUAAACUAUCACAAUCUAUUUAUCAAAACAUACCUCGAAACAAUGAGUUGACUGUCAUAUGGGCGAAAUUUUAUGGGCAAAUUAAGUUGUCAUGCACCUUUGGUGAUUGUAUUCAAACACUUGGCCUAGUCAGCUUCAAGGUGUGGAUUGAUAAAUAGUUGGUAAUAGUUUAGGUAGGAAAGCAAACACCUGAACUAGGGUAUGAAACUCGCAAAAAACUGAUACUUCAUGUGUGUUUUUUACCAUUAUCUCUUUUUCAUUUGUAACCAUGUUUUGAAUCUCAUAAAGAAUGUUUUACGAAGCAAUUCAUUAAAAUAAAAAAUCAUUCCUAGCAGAGGCAGAUCUAGAUUCAAGCUGGGGGUGGGGUGGGUGGUCUAAUAGAAUUCUUUACUAUGAAAAUUAUAUUGUGCGAAUAGGAUAAAAAUGAAUGUUUUUCCUUACAACUAGUAAAGUUGUUGCCCUGUGACUAAGAGAUCACGGGUUCAAGCCGUGGAAAUAACCCCUAGUAGAAAUGUAAGUUGAGGUUGCAUACAAUAGGCCUUUGUGGUCCGGUCCUACCCCAAACCCCGCGCAUAGCGGCUGCUUUAAUGCACCAGGCUGCAUUUUUUUUAAUUAAAUCUUCUAGAUAUAAAGAAAGAUUCUAAUAUAGCAACGAUUAAAAAAAUCAUCAAAAACAUAAGAGGUUGGAUAAGAAGAGAAACUUGCCUUGAAACUUCCUCAUUGGUGUUUCUCCAUCAGUAACAACUUGAAAUUUCCAUAUUGGUGUCUUUCCAUUUGUGACAACCUCAAACUUAAUACGAUCUCCCUCCUUUAUACAAUUCUCAGCGACGAAUUUACGCCAUCCAUUUCCAAUAUAGGCUCGAGCUCGAGGAUUGCUAGAACUGCAUGUCUUUAAUUUCCACGACCUUUGUCUUUCAUCACUUAUUAUCAAUUUGCACUUCUUGUUGGUGAGACCAUUCGCAAGUGCAAAUUGUUGAGGCAGAAACUGACAUGGUGUACGUAUAAGUGUAUAACCAAUUAACCAUUUGCACACAUCAUUAAAUAGUUCAUUGUAUUCUUCAAAAUAUUCACUGAAUAUAUAACACCAAUUAACAAAGAAAAUAAAUAUUGCACAAUGCUUCCUUUAGCCCAGUGGUAGAGACAGAUGUAGAGAUACGAUUGCAACUCUAUGGAUUUUGGAUUUUAGAACGACUAUUUCAAGAGCUGAUAAGCGGGUUCUAAAUUUAAUAUUCGUACAAUGAAUUUCUUAACACAAAUACAUUGUUUACACAAAAAAGAUAUUGGGGUUUUUGGAACUUCACUCACAAAACUUCAAUUUCCAUCUAAAAUACAUAUUCAAUCACAGCUUCAAAAGUCAAGUUUUCAAGUUUCAUGUUUGAAGUUUCAAAUUCAAAAUCUACAGUCAAAUGGGAGCUAAGAUUCAUGAAGAGUUCCGCGUGAAAAAAAAAAAAAACUUUUGAGGCAUACCAAGGCGCUUCUGAAAAGGCAAAAUUUUCCAAUGGUGCAUUCAAAAUGAAAUCUUUCACAAGAAUUGUCAUCUAUAGCAACUUCUUUUGCUUCCUCCUCCUCGUCCUCAUCCUCAUCCUCCUCGUACUCGUUCUCCUACUCUUCCUCCACCUCGUACUCGUCCUCCUCCUCUUCCACCUCGUACUCCUCCUCUUCUUCUUCCUCCUCGUCCACCUCCACCUCAUCCUCGACCACGUCUUCUUGCGUAUAUUCUGCUCUACUACAUUGACUCGAAUCAAAAAUUGAAAUUUCAAAUUCCAUAUUUCCUUCAUGACUAAACACCAAUAGAUUUCCCACUUGCAAAUCAAACUCCUCUACAAAUUUCCCCCAAUUACCCUCUUCCAGUUUCCGGCCAUUCACCUGAACCCUCCAUUUCUUACCAUCCCUUUUCAGUACAGCACAUGUAACAUGUUCCUGCCCCUUCAAAUACUUCAAGAAACCUAUAGGUAUUUUCUACAAUAAAACAAAAAAAUUAGUCUUGUCCCAUAUAGGCCGUGGGGGAGUUAGGAUUAUCAUUUACAAGGUUCAAAAUAUGAAAAAAUAAACGCACUAACUAGCUGGAGGGUUAAACAUGUACCAUAUGAAAAGCAAUUUUAAUCAUGUAUAAAUAGUGCAAUUUUUCGUCGAUACAUAAAAGAAGAAUUAGUCUUGUCCCGUAUAGUCAGUGGCGGAGUGAGGAUUUUCACUUACUGGAUUCAAAAUAUGAAAAAAGUAAACGCAAGAAUUGGCCGAAAGGAAUUCAAAAUCUACUAUAUAUACGUAAAAGUAAUUUUAAUCAUAUAUAAAUAGUGCAGCUUUUCGUCGAUACAUAAAGAAGAAUUAGUCUUGUCCCAUAUAGGCAGCGGCGGAAUGAGGAUUUUCAGUUACAGGGUUCAAAAUAUGAAAAAGUAAAAGGCAUGAACUAGUGAAAAUUCAACAUCUACUAUAUAUAUAUAUAUAUAUAUGUGUGUAAAAAAUAAUUCAAAUCAUAUAUAAAUAGUGUAAUUUUUCAUCUCAUACGUAAAGAAGAAGAAGAAGAAGCGUUACUUACAAGACCAUGUUUGAAACCUGGCAAAAUAGGUUUGAAAAAACGAGGUUUCUUUGGUGGGAGUUUCAUGGAAAACCAACUAGAAUAUGUAAAUUAGUGUGAGAAGAAAGGUGGUGCUUUUGGUUCUUUUGUAUUUCCGGGGAAACUGUAUAGUUUGAGGGAAUUAGUUAGGCAUAACACGUAAUCACAGCCUACUUGCAUCAUUUAUGCCCUUCAAUUUCGAGUGUGCAAGCUAAACAUUUGGGGUUGUUUACUUAAAAAAUAAAAAUUAUGUCGAGAUAAUUAACUUUAAAAUUAGUUAUUCUGUAAUUAAUUAUGCUAUCAUAUAUAUGGAUAAUUUAUCCCAUCACUGUAGUAUAAUGAUGGAAUAAAUAAUAUCAAUACCAAUUAAUACCUCGCACCAAACAUGAACUUUCAUUUUAUCUCGAGAUUAUUUAUCUAUACCUCACACCAAACGACCCCUUAAAUUUAUACAAAGCUAGAAUAAGUAGAUACACAUAUUUAUACGCCAAAAACAACUCCAAACUCAACUUUAGAAGUUUCAAAAAGAAAAAGUAAAUUAUUUUUUAUUUUAUGGCCAAACACGUAGUUACCUUGCAAAAAUAUAGUAUAAAAUAAUAUACAUCCAAUAACAAUAUACAAAACUUCCAUUUAAAAAAAAAUUAUAUUUGAAAACAUGAUAUACAAUAUAUACACCCAAUAUACAAUAUUAUACCAAAGAUUUAUUUAUACACCUAUAAUAACAUAUAAUUUUAUACACUAUUAUACAUUCUGAAAUUUCAAACUUUGUCGGUUGAUUUCUCUCAAAAGACAAGCCGGAAUCUUGUGAAAAUUUAUGGAGCGGUAGAUCUAGUGAUGGGAUAUCAUCUCCAAUAGGCCUGUCAUUAACCUAACAAAAAUUGUUGGUAGUUAGCUCUUGAAUUUCGUUAGGAGUGUUUUGUUGGAAAAGAGUUAUUUUGAAAUAAUUAAUUUUGGAAUUAUUUAUCCCACGAUAUAUGGAAUAACUUAUUCCAUCACUAUGGUAUAAAUGAUGGAUAAAUAAUUUUGGUACUAACUAAUACCUCCAACAAAACAUAGGAUAAAAUAAUCUUCAUUUUAUCCCAUAACUAUUUAUCCAUUAUACCUCACACCGAACGACCCCUUAAAGUAACAACGUUUGUAAUUUGUGAUUUUUCAAAUUUGUAAAUAGAAUUUGAGGCUAUUCUUCUUGCAAUGGAUUUGUCUCAUCAAAAUCCAUCACUUGGCUUUAAGUUUGAAUCUUCAGGAGGGGGAUGUGGCCCCAUGGCAACCCUUUAGGGGUUAAGUUCAGAAAUAGCCUUAAAAUGUUCUGGUCUUAAUAUGUAGUCCCCCGUAGAAAAAAACUUACAAAAAUGACCUUAUAAAGGGGCGGUCUUAAUUUUUUGGCCUUGCUCAAUAAGUUUGCUUAUAAGACAGAUGUCUAACAUUUGCCCAUGAGGUAGACAUUCAUGAUAUUUUAAGACGACAAAUCUAAAUAACUGCCCAACAAUUUUGCCCUAUAGAAAAAGUUAGAAAUUAAAUACGUUGCAUAUAAGACAAACGUUCUAACUUUUGUCCAUAAGCCUGGUGUUCUAGAUAUUUUAAAAGAACUUGCGCAAUUGAUCAAAAGUUAUGCUUAUAGGCAAAAAUUGAAACUUAAGGUUGUUAUCUAGCACACAUAAGUUCUAACUUUUGCCUAUAAGAUAGACAUUUAGGAUAUUUUUAAUACAAUGAAUCUGUUCAGUUGUUCACAAGUUCUGCAUUAUAGGCAAACUUUAGAACUUAUUCAAUAGGGUCAAAAUUUCAAAACCACACACUUUAGAAACUACAAAUUCAAGCUCGAAUAUUUGAGAGAUAAAAAUUUAAGACCGAACACUUUUCAGCACACUAAGUGCAAUUUUCUGACCUUCUAAGGCCCUUAAGCUCCUACCUUAACCCAAACUUUAUGGAUUGCACAAGAAUGUAAUUAGGGAAAAGGACAUUGUGUAGCUUUUUUAAAAAAAAAAUAACCCAACUUUCACAUUUUAGACAAAAUAGCACUUCGGGCUUUCAAAAUAUCAUUUAUUAGCCAUUUGUCUAAUAAGGUCCAUUCCUUCUAUUUUACAGGUUUAGCUAAAGCUAAAAGGACAAAAAGACUGUCCUUUGUCCAAAAAAAAAAAGACUAACAGCUAAGUUAACUUUCCUUUUUGAAGUUGGUUUCCGAAUUGAGUUUUGUGACUCUUCUUUGAUUUCUCAUCUGAAAUAGUCCUUUUUUAAAAAUUUUAAUCAGUUGAUUUGAAGUUAGUUGUGAUGAAAUUAAAGAAAAAAACUUUUAUGGAUUCAAAAUUGGUUGGUAAAGGUGUUACCUUUGAUCCUAAUUUCGUUGUUAAUGAAGAUGAUUUUGAUGAUUUUUUCUAAUUCCAUAACCAUUGAUGAUUUUUUCUAAUUCCAUAACCAUUCUUCCUUCUCCUUUCUCUUCUUUCUCCGGUCGGUGAUAGUUAAGAACCCAACAAAACUCAUAUCUCUUUUCUUCUAGUUUUUAAUUUUUUCUAAUAAGAACCCAACAAAACUCAUAUCUUUUUUCUUCUAAUUCUUAAUAUUUUCUAUUUAGGUUAUCCAAACUGAAUUGAGUUUGUGAAUUAUGUGGGUGCAUGAAAAAUGAGAUAGAGGAAUGAAAGAAGAAAAAAUAUGCAAAAUCUAGAAGUUGAUCGGGAUGGAAGAAAAGGACUAUUGUGUUGAAGCUAAAGUAAUAGUGGAUAGGUAUGUGACGAAGAAAUUUGAAGGAAAUGGAUUGUUUUUGAAAAAAAAAUAUGUUUUAUGAUUCGAGGUUGCAUAGGAUUGAUUAUCUAUGAAGAUUUCAGAGAAAUGAAGGUUUGUAUAUGAUGUGUAUAAAAACUGUAUAUUUAAGAUUUGUAUAUGAUAUGUAUAAAUACUGUAUAUUUAAGUUUGUAUAUGAUGUGUAUAAAAACUGUAUAAAAUUUGUAUAUUUAAGGUUUGUAUAUGAUGUGUAUAAAAAUUGUAUUAUAUGGAAUAUAUUUUCUAUAUAUGAUUUGUAUAGCAUUUGUAUCAUUGCUGUAUAGAAUAUGUAUAUCUAUGGGAUGUAUAUAAACUGCAUAAAUAUUGUAUAGAGUUUGUAUCUAAAUAAUUAUUUUACCUAAAUAGUGUAUAGAAUGUGUAUAGAAACUAUACAAUUACUGUUAAAAUGUGUAUAUAAGUGGUAUCAUUAUUUGUAUAAAAUACGUAUUUAUGUAUUUGAUAUUAAAUAUGUAUUUAAAAAAAAGUAUUUUAUACAAUAAUAAUCCAAUUUUUAUAAUUAUUGAUUCUUUUUUGUUUUUGUAGAAUUUUAAAAAAGAAAAUCAAUUGUUCUUCGAAAUAAAGAAUGAAAAAAAAAUUAAAUUAGUGACAGAAAGCGUUUUUUUUUUCUUUUAAAAAAAGAGUUGCGAAAAAAUAAUGAAAAGAACUAGUGAUUUUUGUUUUAAAAGAUAAUUCAAUAAAAAAAAAAAUUAUAAAAAAAAAAAAACAAAAGGAACAGACGAAAAGGUAAAAGACUUGUUGUCAGGCCAAAAAGGUUAAAAAGGCUAAAAAGAGGGAUUUCAAAUUCAAUGGCUAAUUCGGUGACAUUAUUUUACAUGAAAGUGAUAUUUUUGUCCUUCUUCCAUAUAUAAAUUCUGUGGCUCUUGUGUUCAGUACUAGAGGUAUACGGCCCAUGUCAGCGCGGGCCCAACAUUAAGAUAUUUAUUUGUCUUUUCAAUUUUGAUAUAUUUAAAUAAAAUAUUUUAAUAAAAUGAUUGCAUAUGUUUUUCAAGGAUUCAUCCGGAAUCUAGAAUGGGUUCAACAUAUGUUAUUUUAAUAUGUAUUUAGAUUAUUUAAGUUGUUAACUAUUGUAAUUUAUAAUAUUUGUAUGUAAUUUUCAAAUUAACAUACGUUACUUUUCUUGUCUAAAUUUUUGUGGCAUUGAUAGUCAAUUAUAUUUUAAAAGUAAUUUAAAUUUUUAAUUAUUGUGUUUAUAAUACUUUUCUUCUACGAUCGUAAUUUAUAAUACUUUGUAUGUAAUUUUUGAAUAAUAGAUGUUACUCUCGUUAUCCAGAGUUUUGUGUCGACGGUAGCUAAUUAUAUUUUUUAAAUAAUUUAAUUUUUUGAUCAUUGUGAUUUAUAAUAUCUUUUUCCACUCAACUUAUGUGGCACAAUGCUUAAAUGACCAUACUAAUUAAUUAGGGGUGAUAUAGGGGUGAUAUAGUAAAAUCACGACUGAAGCAGCGAAGCAUGAAUGUCUUAAAUGACUUACAACAACUAAUUAGAAGUGACAUAGCGAAAUUACUAUAAAAAAUACUUGUGAAAAAUUUAAGUGAACCUCAUAUAAGACGUCAAGUUAAUUUGACACAUCAAGAGUUAAUUUAUCAUUUUUACAUCUAUUUUAUUUUUAUUAAAUAUUAUUAAUUUUUUAAUACUUAAAUGAUUUAUAAUAAUUAAUUAGGGAUGAUAUUUAGUAAAACUAUGGUUGAAGCAGCUGAAGCAGACAUGUCAUAAACGUUUAUUUUUUUAAUUAAAUAUUAUUAAUUUUUAAUAUACAAAUGACUUAUAAUUAAUUAGUGAUGAUAUUUAGUAAAAUUAUGAUUGAAGCAGUUUAAGCAGACAUGUUAUAAAUGUCUAUUGUACUUCUUUUAUUACAUAUUAUUAUUUUUAAUAUAUAAAUGACUUAUAAUAAUUAAUUAGGAGUGCUAUAAUAAAAUCACGAUUGAAGCAACUUAAUUAGACAUGUCAAAAAUGUUUAUUUUAUAUUUUUAAUUAAAUAUUAUUUAUUUUUUAAUACAUAAAUAACUUAUAAUAAUUAAUUAUAAGUGAUAUAGUAAAAUCAUUGAUUCAAUAUUAUUAAUUUUUCACUACAUAAGUGACUUAUAAUAAUUAAUUACGGGUGAUACAUUAAAAUCACGAUUGAAGCAGCCGAAGCAGAAAUCAGUCAACUUUUAAAUUUUUUUUGUUAAUUAAUGUUAUUUACCGUGCUUUUUACUUCAUUUUCAAAUAAUAGAUGUUGCUUUCUAUCCUCUUCUGUCCUGUCCCAAUUUAUGUAACACUAAUAUAAUUUUGAUAGUCAAUCAAAUAUUUUAUGUUGACAUAUCAUUUUAUCAUUCUUAAUUUUCUAAUACAUAAAUGACUUAUAAUAAGGGGUGAUAUAGUAAAAUCAUUGUUUAAAAGACGACAAUUUAAUUUAAAAUAUUAAGAGUUAAUUUCGUAUUUUAUGUCUAUUUUAUUUUUUUAUUAAAUAUUAUUUAUUUUCUUAAUACCCAAAUGACUCAUAAUAAUUAAUUAAGGGCGAUUGAUUAUGUUAUUACUAUAAAAAUUAAUAUAAUUUUAUCUUAUCCAAUAGUAACCAUCGACAAUUCACCGGAAUAGUAUAUUAAUUAAAUACGUGAUGCUAUAUUUUGCAUAUGUAAAAUAUGAUAUUAUUAAAUAUUAUUGGAUAGUGCAUUAUGUUUAUUUUUUACAAUAAUAAAAUUUUACUAUAUAUUUUUCUUUUUAACUUGAUAUAUAUUAAUUUUCUAUAUAAAAGUCAAUUAAAAUAAUAAAAUUGAUUUACUUUAAAUAUUUAGUUGCAAUUAAUUAAGAUAAUUUUUUAUUUUGUCAUAAUUUAUGCUGCACCGAUAAAAUUUUGAGAGUUGAAUAGAAAUUUUAUCUAUUUUUUUAAAAAAGUAUUUUAACUUGUUAAUUAUUGUGAUUUAUAAUAUUUUUCACGUAAUUAUCGAAUAAUAUAUUUACUCAUUGUGUCCCAAUUUAUGUGACUUCGAUACAAUUUUAAGAGUCAACUAAAAUUUUUAUAUAUCUUUUAAAUAUUUUAAGUUGUUAAUUAUUAUGAUUUGUAGUACUUUUUCUUUUGUCUUAAUUUAUGUGGCACUGCUAAAAUAAUACCAGUUAAUAAAAUUUCAAUAUUAAAUAUUUAAAUCAUUAUGAUAAAAUAAUGAAAGAGAAAAUGGUCAAAUGCCUCUCUAACCUUUACCUCAAAUCUCAACUACCCACUUAUACUUUGCGAGAUCCUAUCACCCCCGAACUAUUUUAAAAUGGAAUAAUUAUCCCCUAAAAACUAACACCCAGUUGUGUAAUGGGAAGUGAGCAACACGCACUUACUAUGUAAUACCACGUAAUAUUAUAUUUUUAUAUAAAAAAAUAAUUAUUAUUCUUUAAUAUAUAUAUAUAUAUAUAUAUAUAUAUUUUGUCUUUCUCUUUCCAUUUUCCUUUUUCUUUCUUUUUCCUUAUUCCAUAUUAGUUGAGAAGAAGGACCAGGUUCAAGAGAGGUUCGUGCUAUCAACUACCAAAGAAAUCCCUCAAAAAUCGGUUCAAAAUUAUGGUCAAAUCGCGAAUCCACCACUGACCGCCGCCGUCGCCGGAGAUCCGGUAACUUUUGGCGUCACGGACCAGUCCCAACAGGUGCGCCAUCUCAACGGGAGCACACCCCAAUAAAAAUCGUCCAAAACCGAUGCUCCAAUCGCCGUGAAAUAGCAUUUGAACGCAGCGCCGCCGCUGACGAACUCCGGCGAAGGCGGCGCCGCUACUGUCCACCACCAAUCGACGCAACACCACCAAAUGGAGCGCCUCAACGGCGCGAACAAAACCCCCCAAGAAGCCUCCAAAAAUUCCUCCUCAAUCGCCGCCAAUUUGAGUUUAAAAACCUUGCCGUCGACGGCGAAAUCCGGCCACCACAGCUCCGCCGUACCUGAGCUCCAAACGACGCAAAUCCACCAUCAAACGAUGCGCCUCCCCGGCGCGAACAAAACCACGCAAGAACCCCCCAAAACACGGCGUCAAACGCCGCCAAUUUGGGUUCGAAAAAUCUGCCGAAGCAGGCGAUUUCCGGCAAAGGCGGCGCCACGGCGGAGGAGCUCCAAAUGUCAAAGAAGAAGAAGAAACAACAAAGAAAGAAAAUGAAUAAAGAAAAUAAUAAUAAAAAAUCAAUAAAGAAAAGAGUAAAAAAAUAUCAAAAAAAAUUUUUUUAAUAAAAAAUUCGUUCUCAGAACCACACUUGUCAUAUCAGCAUUCAGGGUAAUAAUUUUAUUUAUUUUAAAAUAAUUUAUGGGAUAGGAUUCUCGCAAAUAUAAAUGUAUAAAUGUAUAGUUGGAUUUGAGAUAAACGUUUUGACUAUUUCUCAAUAAUGAAAUCAUUAUAUAUUGAAUUAUGAUAAAUAAUUAAGUAGGUGGAUUUUCAGGUACUCGUUUCAUUUUAUGUGUGGUAUUUGAUUGGACACGAAGUUUAAGAAAUAAGUAAAGACUUGAUAUUUUUUAUCAAAUUAUCUUUUAUUAAAAUAAUGUAUUAUUAUUAUUUUUAAUUAAGUGAUCCUUAUAAGUGAAACUAAUAAGGGUAAAAGUGUAAUUGUAUCUUUAAAUAGUUAUUAAAUAAGAAAAUGUGAUAUUUUUUUGAACGAAUAAAAAAGAAAGUAAUGAUACAUAAAAUAGGACGGAGGGAGUAUAAAAUAUAAUAUAUAUAUAUAUAUAUAUAUAUAGUAGAUAGUAAAUAAUAGAGUAUUAAAACCCGUUUGAUCCAGACAUACUAGAAAAUAUACAACUGAGAAAAUAAAAACAGAGCUGUAUUUCUACAGAAAAAAGAUAAUAGAAAAUGAGAAGUUGGGAACAAUUUUUUGGUCUUGUUUCAGCCCCUUCACAAAACCAAAUUUCUUUAAACCCUAGAAGCAACAACUGCUCCCAUCCCCGCCCACACACACCACCGACACACACUCCCCAACAAUCAUGGCGACUAACUCUCCGAAUCUGGAAUGUCGAAUGUAUGAAUCGAAGUACCCAGAAGUAGACCAAGCAGUGAUGAUACAGGUGAAAAGCAUGGCUGAUAGUGGGGCCUACGUUUCCCUUCUGGAGUACAAUAACAUUGAAGGAAUGAUUCUUUUCUCUGAGCUCUCUCGUCGUCGUAUUCGGAGUAUUAGUAGUCUUAUCAAAGUUGGACGCAUCGAACCUGUUAUGGUUCUUAGGGUUGAUAAGGAGAAAGGAUAUAUCGAUCUCAGUAAACGUAGGGUUUCUGAAGAAGAUAUUUCGGCUUGUGAGGAGAGGUAUAAUAAGAGUAAACUUGUUCAUUCUAUCAUGCGUCAUGUUGCUGAAACCAUGGAAAUUGAUCUGGAGGUCAGCUAAUUUCUCAUACCCCAUUUUAUUUUUACUUUGGUCAUGAAGAGAGUUACUUUGAGUUUAACAUGUUAUUUGAAGCUUUUUGUAUAAUUUGUGAUAAAGGAUAGAAAAUAUGAAUGCAAUGUAUGAGAAGUUAUUUCAUCGUUUGUGAAUGGGAAAGGUGUCAUGUGUAUUUUGAAACUAAGGGAGCAAAGGAUUUGAUUGAAUUUGGAAUUUCAGUUGAACAUGAGGUCUACGGAUAUUAGAAAUUAUUGAAGCGCAAAGCAAAUGGGCCGACUUAGUUAUACAACCUUAGGUAACCCCCAAAGCUAGCUAUUGAGGUGGAGACCCAAAGCUACAUAAGGCCCACAUCAGUUCCCCAUUCAACCGAUGUGGGACACAAGUCCCAUUCCUUGCAAUAAUAUCAUAACAAUUAGUAUUAUUGAUUUGGCAUUUUUUGGAACUCCCGUUCCAAAGCCUUGAAUGUUGUACUAUUCUAAAGAUAAAACAAUAAAGUAAGGAAGAGUUUAUGCUAAAUGAUUCUUAAACUUAGGUUUUCUAGGAUAAGGUCAAAUUGCUCUGCUUAUUUUUAAGUUGUAUGAUGAAAUCUCUACUAAGAACUCAGAGAAAGAAAACUGCGGUGUGGAAACUUUUUUAGUAUGAGCUUGGUCCUUUGUGCCAUUUCCUAAAGAUUAAGGGUAGGUGUACAUAAAAGCUAUUGUAAGAUAACAGUUGUAUAUUACAAAAAAAAAUGAGUUUAAGUUUAUGUUUACCAUUGUGAGUUUUGUUUUUGGAUAACAUAAUUGAUUUCUCUUCUUAAGAACUUCUGUUUGAUAAGAGGUGUAGAAUACAUGAUUCCAACAGGAACUAGUUUUCCUGUUGGAUUUAGUUCUUUGGGUAAUGCCGCGCUUUAAGGACAAGCAAGAACUGGAAGUGAAUCUAUGCUUUUUAGGGAGUUCAUAGGUUCUGAAAACAGCUGAUGUUACUGCAAUUGGAUAUUGUCCACGGUGAAUGUAGGGUUUCAAUAUAUUAUUUGUGAAUUGCAUUGAAGUGGAAAGAGGCAUAUUCUGCUUGUGUAAUGGUCUGGGUCUGCUGGUUGUGUGGUAGUACAGAUUGUUGACGAAAUUCUAGUAAGAGUUUUAUGAAAUUUAUCUGUUUUAGUCCAAGUGUGAAUAUAGAUUUGAUUCCACUUUCUUAAUUUUUUUGUACACGGGUAUUUUACCAAUUACUUUUCCGUGCCUUACUGCUUUGUAACUGGGAGUGCGUAAAUAUGCUGCUCCUAUAAUCUACGUAAUGCCUUUGCAUGAAGGAGUUUGUUACUGUCACUUUCCCUUGUUAUAUGUUGACUUAAGCACGAUUAUUCUGUUCUGGCAUCUCUGUUGAUUUCUGACUUGUUAUGUGACUGCUUAAAAUAUCACUAAACGGGUGUAACUGUCUUUUUCCUAUGUGUCCUUGGCCAUGCAAGCAUAUUUUUUGCACGUUCAUUAGAAUUUCUGCUGCUUUUAAGUGAAUGUACAUUUGUCCCCCCUCCUCUUUUCUUUUCUUUCUGCGGGAUGAGUUGCAAGGAACUACUUUCCUAAAUUUGGUCAUGUACUGUGGAAAUGCAUUUACUUGCUGUUUGAGAAAUAAGAGAAUAUUUGUCAUUGUUUCAUCAAUAACAUACCUAGUGUGGUCCCACAAGUGGGUUCUGGGAGGGUGAGGCGUAUGCAAACCUUACCCCUACCUUAGUGGGGUAGAGAGGAAUAUUCUUCAUUGUUUAUUUGAGAAAAAUGUGUAUCCAUGUAACCCUACUUAGCUUUUCCUUUUCUAGAAUCCCUGUUGUAUAGAACUUUGAAUUCUACUCUUCAAUUUCUCUUAAUCACUUGGCAUGUUUAUUGCAGGACUUGUACAUUCAUGUAGGUUGGCCUUUAUACAGAAAAUAUGGUCAUGCUUUUGAGGUGAAAUUUUGUAUCGAUUUCCAAAUGUUCCUUUUCCCUCUUCUGAUUGGCGAGAUUCACUUGGGAUUUCUUGGUUUUGAUUUCCAGGCAUUCAAAUUGGUUGUCAGUGAUCCAGAUUCAAUUCUUAAUUCCCUCACCCGUGAAGUUAAAGAAAUUGGCCCUGAUGGGAAGGAGGUAGGUCUUUUGUCAUAUCAUUUUCUAGGUUUAUUUCGUCCAAUGAUGUCAAAUAAUAUUUAAUAUCUUAUCCUUUCUAGGUAACUAAGGUUGCUCCUGCUUUAUCUGAGGAAGUUAAAGAUGCAUUAGUCAAGAAUAUUAGGAGAAGAAUGACUCCACAACCAUUGAAGAUUCGAGCAGAUAUUGAGAUGAAAUGUUUUCAGUUUGAUGGUGUUCUUCACAUUAAGGUUUCUACAUUUGGCAUAAUCAUUUUCAUGUUAUUAUCUAUUUCUUGAACCAGGAAUGUAGCACUUGUGGAGUUUGCAUUUUCUUAAUGCUGGUAUUCAAUAAAAUGAAACCAUUACCUAUCAAAAAAGGGAAUUUUUUUCUAGUGAUUACGUAUUGUUUGUAAUUUUAGCCUUUUUUUGAUUUUUGAUGAUUUUCCCCCGUCUGGUGCAGGAAGCUAUGCGUAAGGCUGAAGCUGCUGGUAAUGAUGACUGCCCUGUUAAAAUUAAACUUGUUGCUCCUCCAGCAUAUGUGCUCAAUACUCAGACUCUUGACAAGGUAAACUAGCUUUUUAUUGCAGAUAAUUAUGGUAGCCUAUUUUACUUGAGUAAAAUGUUUUUCGUCUUCACCUUGUAAAAAUGUCAGUUUUAUUUGCGCUUGAGCUUUUCAUUGUUCUGAGAACAUUUUGGUCAAGAACAUGCAACAUAUGUUAGUUCCGGCUUAAAAACUACAUUUUUUAUUCAUAUAGACUGCAUGUUAUGUGCUAUUAUCUCCUUCACCUUGAUUUUGCUUAGGGUACUCUUUUACUUUUGGCUCUGUUCUUCCAUCUCAGCUGUUGCAUAUAAGAUUCUUAUAUUAUGAGUAUGCUUCCACUUACCUAUUACAGUUUUAUGGUCAAACAAGAAAGAUUUCUGUUUGGAUGAUACUCAUUACUUUUGUUUUCUAGGACGCUCUAGCUGGAUCCUUUUUGUUAGCUGUGAUCCUUCAAAGAUCACCUCUUCUAGGUCUAUCAGAAACAGCCUCUCUACUUCAUCUGAGGUAGUGGUAUGGUCUGCGUACACUUUACCCUCCCCCACUUUGUGGGAAUAAACUGGGUAUGUUGUCUGGAUGCUUCCCAAAAUCUUUUGACUCUCUCUUUGGUUUUCCUGUGCUUAUUUUCAAGUAAGGUGGUGAAUGAAUAUCUACUUGAUAGGAUCAUUUUUUUUUACUGCAAUUGUCAUUUCUCUCUCAAGUGUGUUGUUGCCUUUUCAAUGUGUUCUCUCAUGCAUCAACUUUAGUCAACGUUAAAGCUACUUCUAGGAUUAAUCUUACGUUGCUUCGUUGCUGGAAAGUGAAAAAAGAAUGGAAAAAUACUUUAGUGGGCGGUCGUUGAGCAUAGUUCCCUCAAAAAAUUCCAAUUUGAGGAGAAUGAACUGUCCUUCUCAACUUCCACUAGUUUCUUAACUGGUCACAAGUAUUAACAAUAGCAGCUUAAUUUUAUGUGCAGCUAGAGCGCUUCCAGCUGUUAUCACCCUAUCACAUUACGGCAUUCUAUUAUUUCUAGUAUCUGUAUUUUAUAAUUUCAGAGGGAAUUCAGCAUGUUAGAUUACAGAUUCUAUUUAUUUCAUUUGGCAGGAGCAAGGCAUAGCGAUCCUUACUAAAGCAAUUGCAGCUUGCACCGAGGAAAUAGAGCGUCACAAAGGAAAACUUGCUGUCAAGGAGGCUCCAAGAGCGGUGAGCUGACUUUUUUUAAAAAAAAAUUAUGCGUGAUUUUUUAUCUCAUCAUAAUUGUGGAAUGUUCUGCGUACACUCUACCCUUAGGUAGUGUUCUAAGCUGGGGGUCUAUCGUAAACAACCUCUCUACUUCACUUGAGAUAGUGGUAUGGUCUGCGUACACACUACCCUGCGUACACUCUACCCUCCCCAGACCCCACUAUGUGGGUAUACACUGGGUAUGUUGUUGUUGUGCAUAAUUGUGGAAUGUGCUUCUUCGUACCUUUGAAGAGGCCUUAAUUUGAUAUAUGCCACAGUUCAAUAAGGAUAUGAGAUUGAGAAUUGUGAAAUUUGAGACCAGAUUUACCAUAACACAUUGUUGGUAAAUCUUAAUAAUCAUGUGAUGGUUGGGCAAGAGUCAGGGGUUUCUAUAUCACUGAUUCCAUGCUUAAUUAGUAUUUUUACUUUGAAAUUAUUUCCAAACUAGUAUAGCAUGGUCCUUGAUACAUAUAUAUGUAUGUUCAAUUGAAUAAAGCGCUUCUUCGAUUUGUCUCUCUUGGCAAGGCACUGCUACUAGCACUCUGGAUGCUUACAAAUUGAGACCGUUGUCGUAUUAGUUGGUCCUAAAAUCUCAUUUGGGUUUGACUGCUCUAGUAUGGAUGUACGCGGGCAAAUGUUUCAGUUAAUAAAAUGGUGAUAUAUUUAAAUUUCAAUGGACUUGUUUUAGGUUUUCGAAUAAAACACUAUUUACAUAGUUGGCGAGAACUACGUUAUUCAGCUUAUCACUUAGAACUGAAACUAGCAUGAGUUAGACUCUGUACAUGUUCCUGGGAGAGUUUUGGAUAUUGUAUUGACUGGAAUUGAACACUUCAAUAAGGAACAAGACCAAAAGAAAUGAAUGCGUCUCUGGCUAUUUUUUUUUCUUCUUUUCUUUUCUUGCUUUCCGUUUGGGGUUGUUAUUCUUGUUUCUUCUGUGGUGAUUCUGAUGUGAGUUAUCUAUUCAGGUGAGUGAACGGGAAGACAAAUUGCUUGCUGAACAGAUGGCUAAGCUCGGUCGCGAAAAUGAGGAGAUCAGUGGUGAUGAAGAUAGUGAAGAGGAGGAAGAUACCGGGAUGGGAGAAAUUGAUGUGGAGAACUCAGGAACUGGAAUUAGAGAGUAAAAAGUGUGGCUUGUAUGAACUUGGAUAACACAUUCUUCACAGAUGCAGAUGCAGAUGCAGAUCCUACAGAAGCUACCUCACCUUUUGUUCUUGUCUUUUUGUAGCCAUAUGCUUACUUACUCUGGCAAUUUCUCUUGACGAGCAUUUUAGUUUUUACAUGAAAUCACUCUUGAUAGUUAUGUUGGUGCGGAUAUUUGAUAAUUCCAAUCGCAUUAGUACAUUUUGCAAUGAGAAUGAACAACUGUACAUCUUGUUCUUUCAAUUCUCCCUCAUAAAUGUAUAUUUGGACUAGUCAGUUUUUGGCAUCCCUUCUCUUCCAUAUAGGCGGGACUAGUGUUGAGCAAUGGUUAUGACAGAGCUGGUGAAUGUGUCUGUUGCGUUUUUGAGAAGCUUAGAAAGUCUUCCAAUGCGUUAUAAUCUAUCCGAUGAACACGGUGCUUCGGUCUUACUGUCUCAUCUUGAGACAUUUGUCGAAGGUUCUGCCUCUGAUGCUUUAACUUGCGUAUGUUCAGCUAUUAGUGUAAGAAAUUAUACUCAAGUAGGUGCACAUUGGUACGGUAUGCUGACAUGUUGACUUGGGCACCAAGCUAGGUUGGCUAUAGAAGAUUGUUUGUAUUUAAGUUCAGUUUAGCUUGGCUCAGAUUGGUUUUGGUCGAAGCUUGAUUUGGCAAGGUUUUGAUCCCAGUUCGCUUAGGCCCAAUUUGGCUUGAAUAAAAUUAGGUUAAAGAUCGAUUGAACCUGAUUUAAGUGGAGGUUAUAUGGAAUGACAUGAUUAGUGAGGUUUCAUACCACUAGCCUUUUGUUGUGUGACUGUGAGAGUUAAAUUUAAUGUUACAUAUUGCUAAACUCUAUUUGCAUUUGACUAGAGUUACAAUCUAAACUAGCAAAACUCUUUUUUUUUUUAACAUCAAUCACAUUUGAAUCGAAACUGUUAAGUAAUUUUUAUAGUUUUCCUAUUCAAUUGGUUGUUUAUUUGCAUCAAAUUUCUAAAGGCCUAUGGCAACGCAUGGUAGCAAAAGUUAAGAGAUUCUAUUCACGCUUUGCUUCAGAUGUGUUUUACCAUAAGAAAGCUGGUCUCUAGCUCGACCCAAUUUGGUAUUGCAGCAGGCGUAUUGAGUUUUGUUUAACUCGGGCUCUCACUCAGCUUGAUAUUGUAGUAAGUUCGGUUGCUCGAAGCAUUUUUUAUACACUAUCAUCUGGAAUUGUUUGCGAUUUGGUUACUGUAUAUCAACCUUCUACAGGCUCAUUUUGCUUUCCUCCAGCGACAUAGUUUCGUUUUAUUGUUUGAAUCCUCGUGGCGAUGUUUUUGGCCAGUAUCUAGUAUAGUUAGCAGUGUGUUUUAUUUUUGUUCUAGUUUUCCUAUUUGUUAUCAUCCUUCUCCUUUCCCUUUGUGCUUCUUUGUUGGUUGAACAGUUCAUUCUGCUGCAAAUGAUGUUGAUGCCUACAGAACAGCUGUUCACAUGAUCUGUAUAAGUGUAGGUACUUCUUGCUUCUCAUCAACAAUGCAACGGUGAAGCAUAAAAGGUAGUAUAGACAAUGGUUGUGAUAUUGCCUGCUUCAGGGGUUAGUUGAUAGCUAAACUAUCACCGCUAUAGUAUGGGUUAGCUCACCAUAUGAUAGAAAUGCUGCUUCAGAAGCAGAAAAAAGCAGCAACAUUCUAGAGAAAAGCAAUAAGCAGAAUUUACUGCACCCUUUUUGAGAAGAGAAUUUACUAUACUGCGCUUAUGACAAAAGUGAAGACACUAGCCUUGAUUAAUUAAAACCAUAUUUUUGACAACCUUAGUGACUACUUUUGGCAAGAGUUAUUUUGAAAUUUAUGUCUAAAGUAGUAAAUAUGAAAUUUAUUCAUGCAAUAGUAAAUCUAAAAUUUAUUAAAGAAACAAGUGCAUGUCAUGGUAAACUUGGAGUUUACUAGUAUAAAAGUUCAUAAAUUGGCAUAAACGAUUGUGACAUCCGAAGAUGUGCAUAUUGAGUAUUGGACAUAUAAUGAAGAAUUAGAAGAUUUUUCAAGAAUUAUUCAUGUUAUUUGUUCUCAUGAUAAGUUGGUUGGACCAAUUAAUAUUGGGAUUGAACCCCUUAAAUCUGAAAAGUAUAAAGGUGAAUAUGAGUCCGUUCACCUGUCAUGUGAUCUAUUAACAACAACAACAACAAACCCAGUGUAUUCCCACUUAGUGGGGUCUGGGGGGGUAAGAUGUACGCAGUCCAUACCUCUACCUCUGAUGAAGUAGAAAGGCUGUUUCCGAAAGACCCCCGGCUCAAGUCACGAGAUAUCACACAAACACAUAGGACAGCACAGCAGCAGAUGACAUAACAUAGAUACGGCACCCAUAAGGAAUAUAAAACAAACAGGAAUCCCCCCCCACCACUUAAUUCCCUACACUAGCGACCCGAACUGGCCCUAAUCCUCUGCCGUAAUUCGCAUCUUCCAGCCCUUCCUAUCUAGGGUCAUGUCCUCGGUGAGCUGUAACUGUUCCAUGUCCCGCCUAGUCUUAAGAUGCAUCAAUAUAAGAUAAUCACAUGUAUAUUGUCAACCGGCUGUUGACAUUCAUAGAUUUUCUUGUUUAAUAUAAAUUGAGUUAAGAGCAUAAUUUUCAGAUUGUGUAAUCAAAGCAAUUCAUCUUGAUACUGUUGAUUAGAGAUAAAAUGACUAUGAUAAAUAGAUAAACCAUUGCUAAUGAGAACAAAAACUUCAUGUGUUGAUUUGAAAUAUUAUAUAAAUAAGUACUUGUAUGCAUCAAAUUAAUAAAUUAUGAUUAAUUCCCCUUCAAAGUUGGUUCUGAGUCAGGAAUCACACAUUAUCUAUCUAAUAAUUUUAUGUGCGGUAUUCGAUUAAUGAAUAUAUCAUGAUGCAUAAAGAUGGAUCCUCAAAGAAUAUGUAGGAUGCAUGUUAGUUUUCCUGACAUAAGGAGGAGAUUAUAAACAGCUAUGGAGUAUGUUAGGAAUUAUUAUUAGAUCCCCAUUCAAAAGAUAAUUCAAUUCAAAUACCGAAAGUAUCUCAUAUUAAACUGAAAGUGCUCCUAUUUUGUGUCCCUAAAGGACAAAGUAUGCAUGCGUGAAGCGUGGUAGAUCAAUCGAUUCUAAAUGCAAUAAUCCUUGAAAAGGAUAAGGAGCAAAUGAUCAUAAUAAGAAGGCAAUGUGCUCUUGAAGAACCUACGACAUAACACUUCAUGAAACCUUAUAGGAGGUUCAGGUACCUGAAAAUAAUGAAGUGAUGAAAUCUCAAAAUGUUAUGUCAUACUGUGAACUGAUAUGAAAUGAAAUAUCAUUAAUAUCUUUGAUACAAUAUUGGCGCAAUAUUGUAAAAGAUUAUGAGGACCUGAAUUCUAUGUUUAUUUAAGUAUGUUGACGUAAAGAUAUUUAUCAAGUGACAUGAAAGGAUGCAUCUUGAUAAGCAUAACACUUAUUUGAUUUGUAGCCCAGACACUUGAAGAUGUCACACAUGAAAUAUUGAAUAUUGUCACUUGACAAAAUUUAUAUGAAAACUUUUUUAAGGAUUCAAAAUGUUUGAAGCAUAUAAAAGUUUCUGGAAAACUUAUUUAUAAUCGUUAUAUUGUAUAAGCUUAUAACUUGUAAAUUAUUGGAACUCUUGGAGAAUUUUCAAAAGCAAUAGAUUAUUUGUUGGAAUGAGAAAUAUAUCGAAUUGGAUUGGUAAUAUAUCUUAGUGCAAUUGGUGUGCUAAUAUAUCUUGUAACUACUACAAGGUUCGAUAUAACCUUUCGAUCAAUUUGUUAGUAAGGUAUAGUUCUGCUCCUACUAUGAGACAUUAGAAUAAGAUUAAACAUAUGAGUUUAUUUAAUUUUAAAGACUGUAGUCCCGAUCAUGUUGGUUAUGUUGAUGCUGGGUACUCAUCCGAUCCAUAGGUACCCAUACAAUAAAUCUGAUCUAACCACCACUCUUUAGAACUUAUAGGAGGUACUUUUUUAUCACACAAGAUUUCGAAAAUGAGCUUUCAUUUCAUCCACCCUACCCGAAUCCAAGAGUGACAUCCUCAUUAAACUCACUAUUCUCCUGAAUCAUAGGUCCUAAAUACUUGAAAUUGUUUCUCUUAUUGAUAAAAUGAGUAUCAAGUUUAACAAUCACAUCGGACUCAUGAGAUACCUCACUGAACUUACGCUCCAAAUAUUCCGUCUUGGACCUACUCAACCUAAACCCUUUAGACUCAAGGGUCUGCCUCCAAACCUCCAAUUUAGCAUUAACUCCACUACGUGUCUCAUCAAUUAAUACCACAUCAUACGCAAAAAUCAAAUAGUAAUGCACCUCACUUUAAAUUUGUCGCAUCAAAACAUACAUCACUAAGGCAAAAAGAAACAGACUAAGCGUCGAUCCUUAGUGUAACCCUAUCAAGACGGAAAAGUGCUUAGUCCCCUCCUCCAAUCCUAACUCAAAUCUUGGCGCCGUCGUACAUAUCCUUAAUUGCCUUAAUAUACACCGUACACUUCUCUCCUCCAAACACUUCCAAAGAACCUCUCUCUGGGAACUCUAUCAUAGGUCUUCUCUAAGUCGAUAAACACCAUAUGCAAAUCCUUCUUCCUAACCCUAUACUGCUCUAUCAGUCUCCUAACGAGAUGAAUGGCUUCAGUAGUCGAGCACCCUAGCGUAAAUACAAACUAAUUUUCAGAAAUAGUAACAAUCCUUUGCAACCUCAACUCUACCACCCUCUCCCAACCCUUCAUAGUGUGGCUCAACAACUUUAUACCACUAUAAUUGUUGAAUAUCACCCUUAUUCUUAUACAAUAGAAUCAUCAUAAUUAAACCUUUUAAAUGGACCGGGUUAGCCCGUUCCAGCCAAUUUAGCUCGGCCUAACCGAUGGGCCUGCCCAAUCAGCCCACAGGCUGUAGGGCCGCCAGUCCUAGGCCUGGGCCUGGGCCGGCCAAGUGGAUAAAGACAAAUUGCUACGCUUAUUUUUAAGUUGUAUGAUGAAACAUAUUUCUCUAAUAAGAACUCAGAGACAGAAAACUGUAUUGUGGAAAUUUUUUUAGUAUGAGCUUGAUCAUUUGUCCCAUUUCUAAAGAUUACGGGUGGGUGUGCUCUAAUUUCAAAAAUUUUAGUUUUUAUGGUUAAACGCCCAUUAAUACUUAUAGCAUAAAAUAUUAUUGAUAUUCUUUUGAUUAUUGAAUAACUUUUUGGAAUUUGAUUGCUACCAUUAAUUUAUUAGAGAAAAAAUGGGUAAUAAUUCAUACAUACAUAUAACAUAAUAUAAAGCUCAAUUUAAUUUUUGAGACUUCAUACUUGUGUUUCUUUGACUCUCAAAUACUUUUAUAUGAUUUAGUAGGCAUUUGACUAAGAACUUUUUUUUAACAUUUUUUUCGAAAAUCAUUUCUUUUUGGUGAAAAUAGUAGUUUUUUAUCAUAAAAAUUAUUUUAAUUUACUGAAAAUUAUUUUUGAAAACUUUUUUCAUUCUUAUUUCUCGAGCAAAAUUUUAAAAACAACUCUAAUUUAUGUUUGUGACCAAACACAACAUCAAUUCUAACUUUAAUUCCAACUCCAACUUCAACUCUAAAAAUGAUUAUUUUCAUGGUCAAACGGGCAUUAAUCUUUUAAAAGUCUUCACAAAUAUAACAAGUUACUUUUUUAAUAAAAAUGACGCAACAAAAAUAAAUAACACAAAUGUUGAAUAAAAGUUUUAAAAUAAAGAACAAAUUAAAUUUUAAACGUAGAUUUGGGCCCGGGGUAAAUAGCACCCAUAGAUAGGUAAUAAAAGGAAGGGAUAUAUACCAAAACAGCUAACUUUAGACGCCAAAAAACAAAUUCUUCGUGGAAUCUCUUGUUUCAGCCCCUCCACAGUAAAAAAAACCUUUCUCCAGAAACCCAAAUUUCUUUGAAACCCUAGAAGCAACAGCUACUGGGGCCUACAUUUCCCUUCUGGAGUACAAUAACAUUGAAGGAAUGAUUCUUUUCUCUGAGCUCUCUCGUCGUCGUAUUCGGAGUAUUAGUAGUCUUAUCAAAGUUGGACGCGUCGAACCUGUUAUGGUUCUUAGGGUUUACAAGGAGAAAGGAUAUAUCGAUCUCAGUAAACGUAGGGCUUCUGAAGAAGAUAUUUCGGCUUGUGAGGAGAGGUAUAAUAAGAGUAUGCUUGUUCAUUCUAUCAUGCGUCGUGUUGCUGAAACC
rnacentral:lncRNA from 1 species